rnacentral:lncRNA from 1 species
UCAGGAAAAUAUUACUCCAUUUUGAUUUAUUUAUUGUUUCUCAUAUAUUUGUAUAAACACAGUACAUUAUUUUGCCGCUCAAAGCAGAAGAGCAGAAGAUACAAUGAUUUAGUUUUGCUCACAACACUACAUAGGAACUCAAUACAAUAUUCACUAAACACUUGUGAAAAGUGCAGAAAGGUACUAAUAGGGUGUCCUAUCAGAAGACACGGUGACUUUAUCUUUACUCACAAUACAGUAAUUUUACCCACAACAAAACCUAGGAACUAAAUGCAAUUGCAAAAUCGGUACUAAGAAGGCAGACUACCAAUGCCCUUUAUGAAGGUUUCCAUGAAGACAGUGGAAUCUUCAUAGGUAGGAGUGACACCCCCAUAUCGAUGACCCCUUACAGCAUCUGCUGAAGCAAUGGAUUUAAGCUCAGCAAUUUCUUCCGGAGUUAGUUUCACUGACAGAGCUUUAAUAUUUUGAUUCAGGUUUUCAAUCUUGGUGGUAUAUUUUGAUUCAGGUUUUCAAUCUUGGUGGUUCCAGGAAUUGGACACACAUCAUCUCCUUGGUGAUGAACCCAUGCUAAUGCAAGCUGAGAUGGGGUGCAUCCUUUCUUUACAGCUAUUUCAUUAACACGUUCAAAUAGCUUUUUGUUAUGCUCUAAAUUUUCAGGUUGGAACCUAGGUAGAAGCUGCAAGAUUUAGAAAACAGCUCAGUACCAAAAGUGAACUGUAAUUGAAUCAUUAAAAAAGAACAUCAUUUUGGAUAAAGCAUGAUUUUAGAGGAGGUUUAAGUAAAAUUCAAUAGACCAGAAAAUAAGGAAAAAGGACUAGUUGAGGGACUUCUCCUAGGCAGAGGAUGUCUAUAGUAAAACAUUUUGGAAUGUUAGAUGUUUUCAACAUAUUUUGGGGUAGGAAAAUCCAAAAUCUAUCUUAAACAAUGAAUUUAUAUUUUUCGGGGAGAUGGGGUACCUCACUGGUUUGUUGUGUGCGGUGCGGUGUAUCUGAAGUUCGGGGGAGGUGAGAAGGGGAGAGAGAGUGGUAACAAUGGUGGAAGGUUAGAAACAAGAGAGGUGUCCUUCAAAAUGAGCUUCACGCCUGCAAAACAGUGAAAUAGAGGUUAGAGGUGAAGCCGGGGUACCCCGGCGUUCACACUCCGACGCUCAAGUUAGCAAACUCAAGCUUUUAUGGCAAAGAGAGCUAGCUAGCCCUCUGUAAAUUAGGGUUUAAGGUUGAAGAAAACCUUUUUUUUGGAGUGUGAGUGUUUUGGGGCGAAUGAGAGCAUGAUGGAGAAUGAAACCUAGGCGCCUUUAUAUAUGGAGUACCUUAGCUGCCACGUGGCGUACCCUUUUUGGCUAACGUCCUUUUACCGCUUUUAUGAUUCUUGGGGCCGUUAUGUGCAUGUUCGCGGCGUAUCUCAUCUUUUGGAAACGUGGCGCGCGCUGGAGAGUGGUCCGGGGUACCUCUGCAGUAGCUGUUGGGUAGGCGGCUAGGGACCACUGUCCUUGGGACAGUGUCCUUCACUUUUGGCAGAGGUAGCAGGCGACUGUCCCCCCUUUUGAUACGACGUUAUUGAUUCAUAAUUCUGACAAAAUCAAAUAAUAUCUUUUAGGAGGCGGAGACGUUUCUCAUGGCGGAUAUUUUCGGAGGUACCUCGAGUUACGUGGGGUACCUCUAAUUGUACGGGGUACCUCUAGUUACGUGGGGUACCCCCUAUUACGCGGGGUACCCCUAUUUGUAUGAGGUACCUCAUAUUAUAUGGGGUACCUCUAUUUGUGUGGGAUACCCCUAAUUGUACAGGGUACCUCUAUUUACACGGUGUUCCUCAAGUCAUGCCGGGCACCUCGGAUUGUGCAGGGUACCCUCCGAUUGUGCUGAAAUCAUUCCAUUGGUUGACACGUGGCGCUCUAUUGCCUUUCCUAUUUUUCCCUCAAACAACAUCCCCUAGUUUCUUUUUGGCGAGAAGUAUUGGAGGCAAAAGAAACUCAUUGUAUGAGUGAUACGUGCCGACGCGGUUGGACCGGAGGGUACCUUGCUUAGCUUCUUUCCUUGACUAAACUUUGUGUACUUCGAACUAAAAAUCUUCUCUUUGUCUUUUCGUUUUCCCGCUUUUUUUUUUUUUUUUUUUUGACGAUGAGAACGAACAGUUGUCUUCAUAUGCCUCUCUCCUUUUUCUUGGGAAGUGGCAGCCGUCUGACACGCAGUUUGAAUUUUGAAAAUACAAAUCUCACUCAAACAUCCCUGAACUCCUUUCUUGGGCAACGUGUUCUGUCAGGUUGAAUUUAAAACUCCUGACGUGUGUCAAAAUUUUGACAAUCCCCAAACGAACUCCAAAAAAUUGAUUAUUUCCAGUAGCCUUUUUCUUCCAUAAUUUCGUCUCCUCUUCGAAAUGCAUCAACAUCAUCACGUUAAAAAUAAGAAUUUCUUUACUUUUUUUUUUUUUUUUUUUUUUUACGCUCGUUCAUCUUCCCUAGGCUCUAUUCUCCCUUUACUCUUUUUCUUUUAUUUCAUUCUUCUUCCGUUUUCUUUCUUUCCCAUUUUCUUUCUCCCUUUUCUUUCUCACGUUUCUCCUUCCUUUUUCUCUCUUUUCCUUCUUCCUUUUCUUUCAUUCUUUUUUCUCUUUCUCUCUCGGCCGGCGUUGAUCUAGUACGUUUUCCGGCGUGGAUCGCGGCUGCUGCAGUGGCGGUUUUGGGCUCCAGAUCUGGUCGGUUCAAGGCGAUUUUCGGCGGCUCACGGCGAGAUCUCAGUCCGGCGAUACACACGGUAACCCCUCCUUCAUCGUUUCUUCAUUUUUCCCUUGGUGCUUUCUCUCUUCCUUCCCUUGUCUUCUCUCUUUUUCUUCUCUUUUUUUUCUUUUCUCUUUUUCGUUUCGGCUUGUGUUUUUCUCUGUGAUUUCCGGCGUCGGUUUGGUGUGGUUGCGGCCGGCGUCGGUUCGGUGGCUGCAGCCGCGGCAGCCGGCUUCGGUUUGGUGGUUUCCGGCGUUAGUUUAGCGGCUGCUGCUUCUCGGUUUUUCUCUUUUUUUUUUUUUUUCGGCCGACGUCCUCCUUUGCAUUUUUCCGGCGUCGGUUCUUCUUGAUGGCGGCAGCUGCGGCGAUCGGCGUCAGUUCGGUGGCUGCGGCGGUCGGCGUCGGUUCUUUUUUUUUUUUUUUUCGGCCGACGUCCUCCUUUGCAUUUUUCCGGCGUCGCUUCUUCUUGAUGGCGGCAGCUGCGGCGAUUGGCGUCGGUUCGGUGGCUGCGGCGGUCGGCGUCGGUUCUUUUUUUUUUUUUUUUUUUCGGCCGACGUCCUCCUUUGCAUUUUUCCGGCGUCGCUUCUUCUUGGUGGCGGCAGCUGCGGCGAUCGGCGUCGGUUCGGUGGCUGCGGCGGUCGGCGUCGGUUCUCGGUGGUUGCAGCCAUUACAGCCGACGCCGGUUACUGCAACUUCUUCGUUCUUCAUUUUAUUUAUUUACUUAUUUAUAAAUAAGUACAUAUAUUUAAGCUUUAUUCUUUAUUUUUAUACUUGCAUAUUUUACCCACUGUUUUUAGUUGCCUGCAGCUUCGUCUCCCCGCGAUUGUCAAUCCUGAUCUGUCGAAUUGGUGAAUCAUAGGUAUCCCUUCUUGUUUCUCCUCUUUUGGCGCAUUCACAGUGGCGCUAUUUUGCUUACUCUAAGAAAAAUUUAUUUUUAUUUUUGUUGUUUUUGUUUUUUUUGUUGGUUGGUGUUUGCAUUUGGUGGUUGAUGUGUGAUGGAUGGUGCUUGGUAUGGAUAUGUUGUUGUUGGGAAAACAUGUGGCUUGUUGGAUGUGUUGUUGGGGGCUUGUGGAUGUGUUGUUGGAUGUAUCGUUGGGUGUAUUGUUGGGGGAAAGUAGAUGGGUAAGAAACACACGGGACCCGUGAUGAAGCGACGUAAAGUUGGGGCUAGUAGGGUUGACAGCCCUCCUGCGGGUUCCCCUUCCCACAUCUCCAUUAGCGAGGGGGAUUGGUCCCCUCCUAGUUCCUCCAAGAGUUGUAAUUCUCGUUCUGAGCCCCCUCCCCCUAGGAGUACUCCUCGUGUCAGCCCACGCUUUCCUAGUAAACGACCUACCCCCAAUCCUCGAAAGAAGGGUAAGUCAACCAAGCCUAAGGUUCCAGCUCGUUCCUCGGACCAGCCGCCUAAAUCUCCCCCUGCCACACCUUCAAAAUCUAGCAACCCUUUUUCCCUAGGCAUUAGGAGGGCUACUUUGGGGGACUUAGAGCAAAUUAGAGCCAAAUACAAUAUUCCUCCGUCUGUCCAGCUCAGGGUACCCCAUGUGGAUGAGAGACCCGAGUGUCCACAGUCUGAUGGGAUUGCUCUCCAUAUCGACCUCUUCGAUCUAGGACUCCGCCUGCCCCUCCAACCAUUCUUUAUGAAAAUGUUUAGUUAUUUGGGGGUAGCUCCUGGGCAGCUGUCUCUUCUAAGGUGGAGGACACUGACGGGCUUACAUGUGUUAUGGUUGGAGGUCGUGAAGCGCGACAUUUCUGUUCGAGAGUUGAGGGGCCUUUACCAAUUCAAGAAACCUAAGGGUCCCGCCAUUGCUUACUUCUCCUCCUAGGGUGAUCAUGGCCACAUCGUUGAGGGGAACCCCGCCUUGAAGAAGGGUUACCGAAAGGGAUGGUUUGUCGCUGAGGGUAGGUGGGGGGCAGAGACUCUAGGUGAGAAGGGCGACCCCGUGGAGGUUCCCCAUUCCUUCAAUGUAGACUGUAAGUAUCUCCCUUACUUAUGGUUCUUUAUCGGAAUCUUUCGCCUGAAUGUCUCGCUAACCUUGAGUUCUUUAUGCUUUCGCAAGUGUGACAUGGGCUAAAGGAUCAUGCCCAGUUCAGGAGGUGGGGAGAGAGGUGAAGAAGUUUGUGGACAGGCUUCGAGGUGCACAAAGGGGUAGUGAUGUGCUAGAUGAGAGCCGAUUGUGGAGAGCGGGGCUGAUUGACCGAAGUCCUCCGCCUGCUCCUGGGGGUGACUCAUGUAUGAUUUGGGUGUCGGGGGGGGUAUCCUAUUAUUACUUAUGGGACUGGGGUACCCCAUUAUCAUUGCAUUCUUCGUUUCGCGUCCCCGCUUUCCAUUUCCUAUUUUUUACUUUUGCAGUACUUAGUACUUGUCCAGCUAACAUAACUUUUGUGCAUUGGGUGCAGUCAUGGAAUCGACGGGUGACGCUUUCGACGCCUUUUUCCAGGCAGUAGUGGGCGGUGCUUCCGGAUCUCAGGAUUCGGCGGUACCCCCGAAAGGCUCCCAACCUCCUCGAGCUCCCGGUCCGAAGGGGAAGUCUCAGGGUACCUCCCACAGCGGGUCGAAGGGUACCCCUCGCUCGAAGAAGAGAAAAUUCGGGCUGGUUUCCGCUUUCCCCGAGGAGUUGCGCGAAGGUGACCUAGACCCGACUUCCAACAAGGAGGUUUCGCACUUGGCUCGCUGUUUCUACUACUCCGCUGAAAAUGUUACCUCCGAGGUUGCUGAGGAGACUGACAAGAUGAGUUUGAGCCAACGCUAUAGUCAAGCACUUAGGGCUACCCAAGAGGUAGGCUUUCCCGGGAUACCCCGGGUGUACCCUUCAAAAAAUUUUUUUUUUUUUACUUGAUCCUAUUGCCACACGUAUAUAUUUAACGUGUCUUUUAUGACCCGCAGGCAUCUUUUCUCCUCAGCCACUGCCUUCCAGACCUUGACUCUCUCGUUGCCGCCCAGUCAGAGGUCGACAAGUUAAGGGGUGAGCUCCAAAGCCGUCAGUCUCGCGAGGAUCAGCUUGCUCCAGAAGUUAAAACUCUGCAAGAACGCAUUGCUGGCCUGUCGGGAGAGAAAGCUAAGGUGGAGAAGGACUGUGAGGAGUUGAGGGCCACCAACGGGGAUCUGCUAUCUCGGCAAAAGACGAUGGCGGAGGAUGCAUUCUCACUCAUCAUGACGGAGGUGUGGAGUGUGGAUCCGGAGUUGGAGGUACCCCGGGUGCAGAAAUUUGUCAACAAGGCUACGAUUCUAAAGACAAUUGCAGAGAGGAAGAAGCCUUCCCAGGCACGGUCGGGUACCCCCUCCGAGUCGCCUCGGGUACCCCAUCAGCUUUAGCCGUUGCCUGCUUCGGAUGCCCCUAGUUCGGCUGCUCAUAUUCCGGGUACAUCGGAGUCCUCUGCUGAUCGCCCUCUGGAGACGGAUGUUGGGGAUGGCGUUCCCCCUUCAGUGUAGCCUUCUCACUGUGCUCUUGUUUUUUUUUUUUUUUUUCGGACCUAUCCACAUUUUGCUAUUUGGACCUUGUUUCUUUCUUUUUGGUUUCUCGAGAUAUUUUGUAUUAUUGGGACUUCUCUUUUGUUAUGAUACCAUGCCAUCGAGUUCUCUUGUACUUUGCAUGCUUGUUAUUCUGCAAAUGAAUGCUUGACUAAACUGUUACCUUGUAAAUGUCUAGGGUACCUCUUUUUUUUUUUUUUUUGAAAUGGGGUACCCCUGGUACCUUAACAAAUAUCCAACAUCAGGCGGAUUCCCUACAAAUGUGGUGCAUGUCCUUCUCGGAAACUAUGGCGGAUUCCCCACAAAUAGGUAAUCAAAAUAUCAUCGCGACAUCUCGAUCAAACGUUGAAAGCGCAAUUGGUCCAACCAAUCACUUUCUUAUUCUUUCGAAGUUUUCUCCGAAUUUUUUGAAUAGCUUACCCCAUACUUUGCAAAAGUACGAGGACGGAGGUGUAGGUGUUCUCAUACCUAAGCCGAACUUCGUGCCGCUAGGGUAUGCCGGUUUUUCUUCACCCUCGGGUCCUCUCUGACCCUCCCUCUCUUUGUUUAGGUAGCUUUAUCAUGCUUCCGCAGAAAGGCUACCCCCGGGCUGUUCCCUCCGUUGCCCAUCUUGGGUUUACAUAUAUCGUCACGAUCUAGGCAUAUCAGGUACCCUGGCUGGUCCUGCGAUAGGUUAGUCAUAAUUGACAAACGUAUGGCGAGAAUUGCAUAUUACCAGAUGCGAGGGUAUAUUAAUGGCGAUAAAUGAAUAUAAUCCGCACUCUAAGAUCGAAGUGGAGAAAAAUAAAUAAAGAACCCACAUCAUAUUUGUUGAGAAAGAACAUGCAUUUAUGGAUAACGAAAGCGUUGAUCAAUACAUGACUUAGCUUUGUUACCCUGAGGAGAAUGGGAGACCGCAAGACCUCCUAUCCCUUUCAUUUGACAAUUAAAGAAACUCUAAAGUUGCAACUGACCAACAUAGGGCAUUUGGGGUACCCUAUUUGGCCUACCACACAAAAACAUUAAAGAAAGCAAAUAACAGCAAAAGACUAAAGGUUGAGACACUGUCCUUUAGUAAUAUUUCCGUAGCAUUACAGCGUUCCAAGGGUGCCUCACAAUUGUGCCAUCCAUGUGGAGUAGCCUGUAUGCACCUGUCCUAACGGGUUUGUCAAUGCGGUAAGGUCCUUCCCAAUUUGCCCCAAAAGUGCCUUCACAGGGUACCCUAGUGUUCUGAGUUACCCUUCUCAAGACCAAGUCUCCUUUCUUGAAUGACCGAGGGCGUACCCUUUUUUCGUAUAGACCCGAAAUGCGAUGCUGAUAUAUGGCUGUCCUCAGUUCUGCUCUAGCUCUUUUUUCAGCCACUAAAUCAAGGUUUGAAGCAACCAAUGAGGUGUUCUCGGCCUCAUCAAAGUAUUCAACCCUGUAAGAGGGUACCCCAAUUUCUGCUGGAAUCACUGCGUCAACACCGAAUGCGAGGGAAAACGGGGUCUCCCUGGUGGAGGUGUUUUGAGUAGUUCGGUACGCCCACAGUACCCCAGGUAGCUCGUCUACCCAUGCUCCCUUUCUUUUUUCUAGCUUCUUCUUCAGGAUACCUUUGAUAAUCUUGUUAACGGUUUCGACUUGCCCAUUAGAUUGGGGUGAGCAGGUGUAGCAAAUCGGUUGGUUAUCCCCAACUCCGAACAAAAGCUUCGAAAUUUUUCAUUAUCGAAUUGCUUACCAUUAUCACUGACAAUUGCAUAGGGGAUUCCAAAUCUGCAAAUGAGGUUCUUCCAAAUGAAUUCGGUGGUUUUCCUUUCUGUGAUGCUUGUUAGUGGCUCUGCUUCCGCCCAUUUUGUAAAAUAAUCUACCGCCACGAUUGCAUGUUUUGCUUGCCCCUUUCCAGUAGGUAACGGUCCAAUGAGAUCCACUCCCCAUAUAGCGAAGGGCCAAGGGGAAGAUAUAACUGUUAGCUUCUCUGGAGGUAGGUGGGGUACCCUGGCGAACCUUUGGCAUUUGUCACAGCUUCGUACCAUAUUCUUGGCAUCUUCCCGCAUAGUUGGCCAGUAGUACCCCUGACGGAGGGCUUUUUGCGCCAAUGAUUGUGCUCCAUAGUGAUUGCCACAAAUCCCCUCAUGUAUCUCCCUCAUGACAUACUCGGCCUCGUCGCUUCCCAAGCAUUUAAGGUAAGGAAGAGUGAAACCUCUUCUGUAUAAGGUAUCCUGGAUCAGGCAAUACCGGGCGACUUUAUAUUUUAAUCUCCUUGCUUCACUUUUAUCUGAGGGGAGGUCUCCGUCCUUGAGGUACCUUAUGAUAGGCUCCAUCCAAAGCACCUCGUUGGACAGCGAUCCUACUUCCAAUGGGGAUUUGGUUGUACCCGGAGAAGGUGACCCCGAAUGCACAUUUUUCAGGGUGAUGAAGGCCGUUUUCUCUUGAUCGGGUUCGUACAUCGGGAUUUGGUUGUACCCGGAGAAGGCGUCCAUAAAACUAAGCAUCUCAUGCCCCGCUGUUGCAUCAACCAGCUGGUCCACCCGGGGAAGCGGGAAGCUAUCCUUGGGGCAGGACUUGUUCAAAUCGGUGAAGUCCACGCACAUACGCCACUUUCCGUUUGAUUUCUUGACAAGAACAAUGUUGGAUACCCAAUCGGGGUACACUACUUCCCGGAUAAAUCUCGCUGCUAAUAGGCGGUCUACCUCUUGUUCAAUUGCAUCGUACCUCUCUUGGUUGAAGGCGCGACGCUUCUGUUUGACUGGUUUAUUAUGUGGGCUGACAUUGAGUUUGUGACAAGAGAGAGAAGGUGGGAUACCCGGCAUAUCCGAGUGGGACCAAGCGAAUACAUCGUGGUGCUCACGUAGGAAGGUGAUGAGUUUCUCUCUUUGUUCCUCCGAGAGGUUGGAGCCUACUUUCACCGUCUUUGUUGGGUCGGUGGCACAAAUCGAGACUGAAAUAAGGUCUUCAACUGGGGUACCCCUUUUUUCAUCUUUCAAUAUUCGGGGAUCCAAAGGUGCCUCAACUUCACAUCUGGGCUCCUCCUGGUCCCUGUGGGGUACCCUCGAGCUAUCCGCCGCAACUGCUUCUACACUCAUUGGUGAGGAUUCCAACUGCUCUCGUGGGUGGGCUACCUGAGGAGAUUUUUUUAGCACUGCUCUCCGCUGUCUAGCAAGUGCUCGCUUUGAGGGGAAAGGUGUGGGCUGGCUGCCACUGGGGUAUCCCUUCAUUGGCGGAUUGGAAGCUAUUUGGUAAGUGACUUUGGAGGUCACGGAAUAACAUCCACGAGCCGAUUGCUGGUCCCCUUUAAUAGUGAUAACUUCUUGGGCGGCUGGGACUUUCAUGGCGAGGUAGUGCAUGGAUACCACCGCUUUAGUUGCUACUAAAAACGGCCUACCCAAUAUAAUAUUGUAGGCACCCGGGUGAUCUACAAUAAGAAAAUCAAUCAUAUGAACGACAUGGUGAGGUACCUUACCAAGUGUAACAGGCAGCGUAAUGAUGCCUUUUGGUAUAACCAUAUCUCCGGCGAACCCAAUGAGAGGCGUAGCAUAGGGGGUGAUCUUUGGCGACUCAAUCAAUAGUUGAUCCAAGGCGCUUUUGAAAAUGAUGUCAACGGAGCUGCCGGUAUCUACGAGAGUUCUUGCUACCUUACCAGUGGCAACCUUCAACGUAAUUACAAAGGCAUCGUCGUGGGGGUACGAGAUGCCCUCCGCAUCUUUUUCUGUAAAAAGGAUAGGCGGGGGAUGGUGGGGUACCUUUGGUGUACCCCAUUGAUUAAGGUUGACUUCUCUGCCCAUAUCGGUGGUUAUCGACAACGAUCUACCAUAGCCUUUGAUAGCCCUCCUAGAUUGGCCCGCCAAGGUCGGUCCGCCCAUGAUCAUCCGAACAUACACGCCUUUCUUAUGUCCAGGGGGUACUUCUCGUUCAGGACUGCCAUCAGCUACCCGCUUGCCCUUAUCCUGCUCCGCGGAUUUCCUCAUGCCAGCAACAAAUUCUUUGAGGUACCCGCUGAGAAUCAAAGAUUCAAUUUCCUCUCGCAAGGUGAAACACUCGGCUGUGCUGUGACCAAAGUCUUCAUGGAACUCGCAAUACUUCAGACUACGCUUCAUGUUGGGGUACUUCUUCAUUGGCUUAGGAGGACGGAGGAGGCCGCUAUCCCGAAUAUGGUAGAAGAUCUGCUCUGGGGAUUGAUUCAGUGGGUGGUAAGAUUCGUACCGAGGCCUCGGUGGUGGCUCUCGCUAAUCCGGUGGUGGCGGUCUUGGAGGUUGGGGUACCCUUAAGGUACCCUGAGGGUUGUACCCCCGUCCUCGCGGGGCAACCCGUGGAGGGCUCCGUGGUUGGGGUACCCUCGGUAUUGGGGCCUCCAUCCUUUUAGGCUUUUCCUUGUUCUUUGUAACAUCGGCCUUAUCUUCUUGGCGCUUCAAUUGACAUUUUUCGUCCAUCUCCACCUGCUGCAACGCCCGGGAACGGGCUUCCCCAUAUGAAAGUGGGCGCUUCUUUUGAAAAGAACGCCAUAAUUUGCCCAGCCUCAAAUUUUUCUCAAAAUGGGUCAAUGUGUAUUGGUUUCCAAAUGCUCCGGUUUGCAGCACCUCUUGGUGGAAACGACUCACAUACUCCGCCAAAGGCUCGGCUUCCCCUUGCUUGAUAAAGGCAAGUUUGAAGGCUACCCUAUCUUGGGUGGAUGCAUAGGAAAACUCUUUAGUAAAUUCAGAUAGCAAUUGGUGUAAGGAAGAUAUGCUACCCGCUUUCAAAGAGCGAAACCAUGACUUCGCGGGGCCCGUGAGUGUGUGUGUAAACAUCCUACACAUGGCGCUCUCAUCUACACCCUUGAUAAGCAUUUGGUCGCGGUAUAACUCAGCAUGCUCUGAGGGAUCAGUGGUACCAGAGUAUUGGGGUAUCUGAGGCAUGGCGAACGCCUCGGGGAGAGCUGCCGUCCUAAUCUCCAUAGUGAAUGGUGACUGGUAGGUCAGUGGCGUUGGUGCAGCUGUGAUGUUUUGCUUCUCGGAGAGGAGCUUCACUUGGGCUUCCAGGUUCUCCAUCUUUUCUACAAGUUCGAGGGGUACCCUCGGUGUACCCGAUGAUGUCGCCGCCAUUUGAGAAGCCCUUUUGGCGUUUAGCUUCUCACGGAGAUCCUCGUGGGUACGCUUUGCACGCCUCGUACCCUGGCUGCUGCGGGAAUUGCAAGAGGCGGUGGAACGCUCGUCGCGAGAGCCCACGGUUUGAAACUUAGAACGGGUACCCGAUGGCCUAGGCUUUGGCUUGCUGGCCUCGGGUACCCCUCUUCUGACCAUAGCUUGGUCGUCCGUUUGAGGUGGUGGAGCUUCUAGCGUCACUGGUGGAAGCCAACUUUCGGGUGCUCGAGAUCCGACCGCCCUAAGUAUUGCGUGGGCAAGAUCCUCAAAACGCUUGUGCGAAAUAGGUUCCUCUUCUUGGCGAACACCCGUCGAUUGCUUGAUACCUUUGCCCUUGCUGACGCGGGCUACCCUUCUUGUGGGAUCACUACCUUCACUGCUGCUGUCAUCUCUCAUCCUUGUAGGAUCCCCCAUUAAACCUUCGGGAGGUACGUCGGGUGCCAUGUAUUGGAGUACACACAACAACUAGUUUGGUAACCGCGAAGGAGGCUUUUUGUGCGAAUCCCCACAGACGGCGCCAAUUGUUUUCAACAGAUUUUGGGGUAGGAAAAUCCAAAAUCUAUCUUAAACAAUGAAUUUAUAUUUUUCGGGGAGAUGGGGUACCUCACUGGUUUGUUGUGUGCGGUGCGGUGUAUCUGAAGUUCGGGGGAGGUGAGAAGGGGAGAGAGAGUGGUAACAAUGGUGGAAGGUCAGAAACAAGAGAGGUGUCCUUCAAAAUGAGCUUCACGCCUGCAAAACAGUGAAAUAGAGGUUAGAGGUGAAGCCGGGGUACCCCGGCGUUCACACUCCGACGCUCAAGUUAGCAAACUCAAGCUUUUAUGGCAAAGAGAGCUAGCUAGCCCUCUGUAAAUUAGGGUUUAAGGUUGAAGAAAACCUUUUUUUUGGAGUGUGAGUGUUUUUGGGCGAAUGAGAGCAUGAUGGAGAAUGAAACCUAGGCGCCUUUAUAUAUGGAGUACCUUAGCUGCCACGUGGCGUACCCUUUUUGGCUAACGUCCUUUUACCGCUUUUAUGAUUCUUGGGGCCGUUAUGUGCAUGUUCGCGGCGUAUCUCAUCUUUUGGAAACGUGGCGCGCGCUGGAGAGUGGUCCGGGGUACCUCUGCAGUAGCUGUUGGGUAGGCGGCUAGGGACCACUGUCCUUGGGACAGUGUCCUUCACUUUUGGCAGAGGUAGCAGGCGGCUGUCCCCCCCUUUUGAUACGACGUUAUUGAUUCAUAAUUCUGACAAAAUCAAAUAAUAUCUUUAAGGAGGCGGAGACGUUUCUCAUGGCGGAUAUUUUCGGAGGUACCUCGAGUUACGUGGGGUACCUCUAAUUGUACGGGGUACCUCUAGUUACGUGGGGUACCCCCUAUUACGCGGGGUACCCCUAUUUGUAUGGGGUACCUCAUAUUAUAUGGGGUACCUCUAUUUGUGUGGGAUACCCCUAAUUGUGCAGGGUACCUCUAUUUACACGGUGUUCCUCAAGUCAUGCCGGGCACCUCGGAUUGUGCAGGGUACCCUCCGAUUGUGCUGAAAUCAUUCCAGUAAUAGUUUUGAGAUAAUGAAACAAUUUUUUUCCAUUUUUUUUUUAUCUCUAUCCGACUUAAGGGGUAUUAUCAUGUAUAUAAAUUGAAUCCGACAUGUUAAAUUUUUCUGUCAAUCAACGAAGUCAUUGCAUAGAUAAUUCCCCAGAUUUUCAAUGCAAAGAAAGCCUUGCUCAUGUUUGAAGAGGUUAAUGAGCAUAAUAUGAGGGACAAAAUUGAAAUCUAUGAAGAAUUACAGAACUAUAGAGUAAAACUAAACAAGAAUUAUUAUUGUAUUGCUGGAAAUGAGAAUGAACGUGUAAUAAAGAAGCAAGUAAUGCAAAUAUGACGAAAGUAAAACUGCCUGAUUAGUAAACACCAAACAUUUAGCCAAUGACGAAUAAGUUUUGGUACACAAGUCAAUUCGAAAAAGAUUACAGUGUAUUCAGUUGUUAGUAAUAGAAUUUUCAUUUUUCCUCAAUCUUCUCCAUGCAAUCUAUACACAGGUAACUUCAGUGUAAUUAGAAGAUCGAAAUGAACUAGUAGAAUAUUUAAGAAACAAAAUUCUUAAACAAGUCCUACUGGGUUCGGUUAGAAUGAACUAUAACUAUGGUUCUAGAUAAAUAUCAGAGGUUUAUAAGAUAAAAUAGUAUGCAAGUCACUGUAGAGUAUCUUGAGAGAAAGUUUUAACCAUGCUUGUAGGCAUCGAAUAAUAAUGGUAGAAAACAUUUUAAGGCCCAAUGAACAUGCAUAAAAAAUGGUAAUAAAUGCAUGGUAGGCUUACGGACAUGUCUAGAAUCAUCCGGUGCAAUGCUUUCAACCAACUUUGGCCCGGAUGAAAGAAACCCACGUCCUAGAGGACUGUAAGCAACAAUUCCAAUGCCAAGUUCCCUGAGCAGAGCAACCACCAAAAUUGCGUUAGCAUGCAAAUGUUAAAUCAUCUACUCAUAAUUUUUUUUCCUUUCAACUAGGUCAAAACAAUUCAUUUGGCCCAAAUAAUGUCUUACCUGCAAGUAGGAACAAUCUCUUCCUCCACAUCUCGUGACCACAAGGACCAUUCCAACUGCACAGCUGUUAUUGGAUGGACGGCGUGAGCUCGUCUAAUUGUUGAAGCAGAAGCCUCCGAUAGACCUAUAUACUUUAUUUUACCCUCUUCAACUAGUUUCUUGAGUUCCCCAAUCUUACAAAACAACACAAGUAAAAGAAUUAGUACAUGAUAACAGAAACCUCACCCACCGAAGUGACCCAUGUCUGUAUUUUUAAAUAUUCUGUGUUUCAUAUUCAUUGGCAGCCGAGCUACCCAGAGGCUAACAGACUAAUAUAGUUUAACAUGCAUGAUUGAGACAAAUAUAUAAAUUAAAAACGACAAACCGUGACUUCAAUGGGAACUUUAGUGUCAAUGCGAUGUUGGUAAUAAAGAUCAAUACAGUCAACAUCCAGACGCUUCAAGCUGGCCUCACAUGCAGCUCUUACAUAAGCAGGAUCCCCACAGUAUGAGUACUGGCCAUCCUCAUAUCUGAUACCAAAUUUAGUAGCCAAUUCAACUCUUCCUCUGUACCCUCCUUUCAGAGCCUAAUCCCAAAACCAAAUUAAUCAAAGCCAAUAUAUUAUUAUUUGCCAAUUCCAAAUAUACCCUUUUGAAAUUAAAGGAAGGAAAUAGAAGAUAAAUUAUAUUACCUUGCCCAGAAGGAUUUCAUUUGUGUGAGGUCCGUAAGAAUCGGAAGUGUCAAGUAAAGUGAUGCCACUGUCAAUGGCAUGGUGGAUCAAGGCUAUCAUAUCGGAUUCGGGCUUCGGGGGCCCGUAGAAGGCGGACAUGCCCACGCAUCCUAAGCCUUGCGCUGAAACCUCUAGACCUUGUGAACCCAGCUUGAUUCUCUUCACUGCCCCCGCCAUUUCUCUUCUAUUAGCCUCUCAACUUUCUGUUGAGUGAGGUUGCUGUUUCUAAGCGAACAAUCUAUAUAUGUAGAUAUAUUGCUCUGCGGGCCUCUCAAAACUCGUAAUGCUAACGUAAUGGAAUAUGUUAGCAUUUACCUCAUUAACUUUACAAAUCACACAAGAGAGUAGUUAGAUCAAUAAUCGAUACGUCAUAAUGUUAUUUAUUAAUUAUAGGAAAAAUGAUAAACACAACUCCAACAUUUAGAUAAAGGGACAAAAAAAAGUAAUUUUUUUUUUUUUUUUUGUGAAGCUUAAGGCCCUAUUUGGUAUUGUUUUCCAAAUGUUGUUUUCUUGAAAUAAAAAUAACAAUGAAAAUGUUAUUUUUAAAUUUUAAAAUAUAUUCAGUAUCAUUUUUGAAUACUUAUCUAGUAUUUUCUGAAUUUAGAAAAUAAAAAAUUAGAUUUGAAAACAAUAUUGUACGCACCCUAAUAUUUUAAUUAUCUCUUUUGAACUAUCUGGCUCUAUAGCAAUUUGUAAGGGAAAUAUUGUCUUUUGAUCAGUCUAUUAUCUUAGAACUAGGGUCUAAGGUCAUAUUUGGUAUUGAAGUAUGUACCUUUUGAGUUACAAUUGUUAUGAAAAAAAUACUGUAACUAUAAAGUAAAAGUUAAUAGUAUGUAAUAAAUAUAAUUUUUAAAUAAUAAUUUUUUAAAAAUGAGUAAAGAUAUAAUAAAUUUUUCAUCAUACAAGUAGAAAAUCAAAUCAAUUUAGUUUUCAAGCUAUACCAACUAGUGUUUAUCAAAUACUUUAAUGCUAUUUUUUUUAUCAAAUACUUUAGUGCUAUUCUUUUUACACUACAACCGUUCAACCUCAAUCCUAAAUAGGACAUAAGUAUGGAAAUUACUCGAUGAAUCAUCUUUUAAGUAUUUGAGUGAGAUAUUGUAGUGAUUUUUUUUUCUAAAUACUUGAAAAUUAAUCUAAUCUGCAAUGAGAUUCUUGCAGACUUCUUGUCGUAACUAUAUUGUCAAUAAUGAUAGUCACAUGCUUACAAUUUUUUUUAUGUGUUUUUUAAAGAAUGGGUAAAAUCCAAAUCAAUUUUUUUCUUAUAAUCUUUGUAAGAUUGGAACUCCAAUAGUCAAUCAAAUGAAACUAAUUAAAAAUUGGUUAAAUCCUUAGGUGGUCAAUCAAGUGCUUACAUGUAAUAACUAAAAUUAUAGAGAACUUAUAAUUACUUUUGUAAGCAACCCAAAGUAUAUUAAGACUAACUUGAAAUUCUAUCACGUCUUAGUAAAUACUCAAAAAAUUUACUUCAUACUGUUGAGAAAAUGAGUAAAAAAAAGCCAUGGAAUUCAAAUAGUGUCCUCAAUAUUAUUGUGAAUACCUGUCAGCAUUGAUUAAUUAGUCCAAUGGCUAUUUUUUUUUUUAGAAGAUAAGCAUGUAUUUGAUAUUAUUUAUGUUUUGCUAUUUUUCAUUUUCCAAGAAAAAAAAAAGUGUAAAAUUUGUUUGGUACACUUAUUUUAUGGUAUUUAAUUUCAAGUAAGAAUGUUUAAUCUCAUUCUCUAACUUUAGAGAAGAAAAUUGGACAACAAGGCAUUCAUGAUUUUCAAUUUUCAUUUUUUAAAUGGGUACUACAAGUACCACUUGAACAACAACAAAAUAAAAAUCAUGUCUGUCAUUAUGUGGGCCCAUUACCAAUAUUUAUUUUAUAAUCCAAUUCUAAUUAUCUUUAAUACUUUUUAAUUAUUUUUUAUUCAACAAUACUAAUUGUAUUAUUUGGUAAUUUUUAAAAGGUUCUCUAUUAGUAAAAUUUAUUUAUUAUUUAUUAUUUAUUCUAAUAUUAAUGAUACUCCCUAAAAAAUCAUUUUAUCUAAUUUUUUAUAAUUAAAAAUUUUAAAUAAUAAAAAGUAAUUGAAAUUUCAAAUAAUAAAAAAUUAAUUGAAAUAUAUUAUGAUUAAAAAUAAUUUUAGUUCAUCUAAAUAUUAUAUCAUAGUAUGUAUUUUUUUCUCACUCUCUUUUACCGUCUUCACUUUUUAAACAACUCAAACAUUUUGAAAUUUUCAUUUUAUAAGUAUAUUUUAGAAAGAAGGCUCAUUCUAUUAUGCCUUGAUUAACGUAACGGUAUCAAUACUGUAAUUAAACAUAAUUUAUGUAAAUAAAAUAUAAAACUUGUAAAUCAAUAUUAAUUGUAAAAUACAUAAAUUUUAGAAAUUAAACAUAAAACUUGUAAAUUGAAGGUAAAAUGAGUAAAUUAAUAUAAAACUCGUAAAUUGAUAUAUUAUUAGUAAAUAAAACAAAAACUUGUAAUAUAACAUAAAACUUGUAAAUUAACAUUAAGUGCAAAAUAAAGCACAAAUGUAAAUGGAGGAUAAAACAAGUAAAUUAAUAUAAAACUAGUAAAUUAAUGUAUUACUAGUAAACAAAACAAAAACUUGUAAAUAUAACUUAAAGCUAGUAAAUCAACAUUAACAAUAAAAUAAAGGGUCACCCUAUGUUAUGUUGAGUGUAACAUACACACACUCACAGCAACAGUAACAAGUCUCAUCAUUAACAUUGUUGCUGUGAGUGUGUGUAUGUUACACUCAACAUAACAUAGCAGUGGCCUAAAAUAAAACAAAAAUUUUAGAAAUGAAGUAUAAGACUUGUAAAAGGAAAGUAAAAACAAGUAAAUUACUAUAAAAUUAGUAAAUUUAUGUAUCAUUAGUAAGUAAAACGAAAACAUACAAAUAUAAUAUAAACCAAGUAAAUCAAUAUUAAGUGCAAAAUAAAACAUAAAAUUUGUAAACCAUGCUCAAAACUUAUGAAUAAAAGGUAAAAUAAGUAAAUUAAUCUAAGAGUUACUAACAAAAAAGCUCUUAUAAACUAAAAACUCAUUAUAAUAUUUAUUACCUUAUAUAUUUAAUGAUUUUUUUAAAUUAAAUUGCAUAAUGCUAGUUUUGCAUUUAUGUAGUACAUGUGAUGUUUUAUUAAGGAUGAAAUUUAUUCGCAGAAUUGGAUUUUGAAAAAAAAAACUAUUUUAAUAUCUUUCAUAGUUGUUGUAACAUGAGGUUAUUUUGCAUCCUUCUACACUUCUGCAACAACAACCCUAAAUGGUCUCUUAAGUACAAGUAAAAAGUUUGAAACUACAUGAAGCAUACAUAGAACUCAAAAUUAGAUAUAAUUUUAUUGAUAUAUCAUAUAUGUGUCUAGUAAUAUGAGAAUAAUUAUUUAUUUAUUUAUUCAUUUGCUUGAUCCACGUCUAGAUAAAUAAUUGCACUUAAUUAACUUGUGUAAUAAACAGAUAUCAUUAUAGAAAAUGGGAAAAAUUAUACAAAUGUCAUUAAAUAAAUAUAGAAUUUAUGGUUAAACCAAUUCAAUAAAAUAUAUUUCACUUUUUUUGUACAAUUUUUGUUUAAUUAAUGAGUAAUUUUUUCUUUAUAUUUUUGUAAAUGAAUACAAUAUUUUUCACUAAAAUUGUGCAGAAGCAAUGUUAAUUUUUUAAAUAAUUAAUAAUCUUGUAUGAAGUUACUUGUUUUACUUUAUAUUUACUAAUUUUAUAUGAAACUAGUAAAUAUAAAGUAAAGCAAGGAAAUUCAUACAAGAUUAUUAAUUAUUUAAAAAAUUAUAAAAACAUUAUUUGAAUGGCAAUACCAAUUGCACCCUAGUCCGUACAAUUUUACGUCAUUCAAUGUUGAUAACGUGGCUGGCACAAAGGCCAAAUCAAAGGCUGAGCGGGCAUCACAUGGGCCUUUGCCUGGAUCCUAACCUUCGCAAGCAAAGGCCCACGAUUCUAUCACCCAUUAAUCCUUCUAGAGAAUCUGCUAUAGAUGUAAAUGGACCCUCACUAUCUUUUUCACUGUUUUGAUUUUUCAAAAUUCCUUUUUUUUUAUUAAGUUUAAUGCAUUUUAUUAUCUCCCUGAAACUAUUUGGCUAUGGUAAUUGGCAAGGGGAAAAUUAUCUUUUAAACAUUCUAUUACCUUAAGACUACGGUCAAGUAUUGGAAACAUGGUGAAUCAUUUUUUAGGGAUUUCAGUCAACUUAUAAACAUUAUAGAGAUUGAUUUUUUUUUGCGAAAUAUGCGAAAAUAAAUGCAGCGCUACGAGGUUCUUGUAAACUAUUAAAUUCAAAUCAAUAAAAGUAGCAAUAAUAGCGUAAGUCCAGAAUCUAUCAUAUAUCAAUACCACUCUCAUACAGUUGUUGUUAAAUCAGGCCUAAAAAAUAUUUUUUUUUCUUUAAUUUAAUAAAAUUAUCAAAAGUCAGAUUUUUUUUUCUUGAUUACAUAAAAAUGCAUAAAAGUAGAGAAACACCUUAAAUUUCCUACUGAAGAUUUGAAGACAACUACUUUAAUUUUUUCCACUACCAUUAUUGGGAUCUGUAGGAUAUGGUUGUAGUUUUCUCGUCUAUCAUCAAUAGUCUCCCUCGCACAUGAGGGCAUAUAGAGAACUAUAAUUCCCAUUUCCUCUUCUUUAUAUAGGCACUUAUUAAAGUCAAGAUAUAACUAGAAACUAAGCUAACAAAGGGUAUCCAUGAACUUCCUAAAUCCAACUUCAUAGUUAAGUCUCAGUCAUAUUAUGACUCCCUAAAACAACUAAGUUAACCUUAAGCUAUUCUACUAAAAGUCUGAUGUCGCACUCUAAUGAACCAUGUAACAAAUAAAAGCCUAAUUAAUUAAGACUUCUUUUAAUUAAUAUUAGACAUGAUUUUAAACCAAUAAUUACCACUUAAUUGACUCUUUAUUUGAUCAUCUUAAUUAAAUCCAGCCCAUGAUAAAUUUUCUUUCUUUGUAAUUACAUAUAUAUCCCUUAGUCACAAUUUAUUCUAACUAUCACUGUUAAUAUAUUUGUAAAUAGAUUACAAAUAAAUGUGAUUAAUUAAUAAAUAAAUUAUUGAAUAAAUUAUAACCACAGAUUUAAAUGAUCAAUAUAGGGAUGGCAAAAUGCAAGCUUAGACUAGGCUUUUUCAAGCCCGUUAGAGGGAAAGUAUAAGGGCUAAGCUUGGGCCGGGGUUGGGUUGGGUUGGGUUGGGUUGGGCUUUCACUUAUUUUUUUCAUUUUUUAAAAAAAUUGUUAAAAACUUGAAAUGAAUUAAUAGUCAAUGAGUUGUUAUAAUCGGCAACGAAAUAAAGAAAAUGAAUGUUUCAAAAUAAAAUAAUAAAUAAAGAAAACACAACAAAAAAAAGUGUAGAGAUUUAAAUUUUUUAAUACUAGAUUUUUUAAUUCAAGUAUCUUCUUAAUUAAUUAACAUUUAAAAGAGAGUUUAUUAUUAUAAUUUUAGAUUUUUUGAUUCAUUAUUGAUAUAUAAAUUAGGGACUUAAGCUUUCUUUCUUUUUUCCAUUAUUUCAUAAAAGUUUAAUUUAUUAUUCAAAUUUCUAAUUUAUUUUUUGAAAAAAAAAUAGAGGGCGUGUGCCUAGAUUUUUUUUUACUUAAGCCCUUAUCCAGACCGUUCAUAUGGAGGCAUGAGCCAAAUCUCAUAGCAAUGGGCCGGGCUCAUCCCUAUGAUCAAAUACUACAAAUAGCUUAGGUAAGCAUCAUUUGUAUAGAUUCCAUCUUGUAAGUAUAUAUAUUUCUAUAAUCCAUGAAAUUAUAUCUCCAAAUUAUUAACGUUUUGACCGUUUAUACAAAUCUUACUUUGUGACGACUCAAAAGACAUAAUACCUGAAUGUGCGCUAGACUCCUUUACCCUUUAUUAGCGUUAUAUUACCCACUCAGAAUUAAGAUCGAUCAAGCUUAUUAAAGCUUGUAUAGAUUAUGAUUAGCAACAUAUGUUAGAUUAGAUCAUAAUUCAUUACAAUCUUGUUCAUUACAUAUAUAUCUCAUAUACAUACUAAUUUUUCUACUUGAAGUCUCUACUUCAGUAAUUAAGAUAAAGUUACUUAACAAUAAAAAUACAAAAUAUACAGCCUUAUAAAAAUAAAAUGACAUUUCAUUAAUGGAUGUGAAUAAUCUUUUAUUUUUAAAGAAUUUGUGAUUUUUAUCUUCUAUCUUGACAUCAUAUGUCCAAUAUAUAAAUCAAAUACUUUAUAAAUAAGGGCUAAUAAUGUAUGCUCAAAUAAAUAAUAAAUAAAUAAAUUUUAAUAAAUUCAGAAAUUUUUAUUUUAUUGCAUGCUGUAAGAGUACAAAAUAAUAAUGUACAAAAUAAUAAUAAGUGUACUAGUAAUUAUAUUGUCAAUAAUGAUACUCAAAUACUUAUAACUUUUUUUUUGUGUUUUUUUAAAAGUAAAGGGUGGUAAUACCAAAUCAGUUUUUUCGCAUCUAACCUUUGAGGAUUCGAACUCUAAUUACCAAACAAAUAAAACUACAUGGAAAUCAGCUAAGCCUAGGGCGGCCAAUCAAAUGCUUACAUGUACUAAGCAAAACAAAAGAGAACUUAUAAUUACUUUUGUAAACAACAAAAAGUAUAUUGAGACUGUUUAAAAAUCUAUUACGCCCUAGUAAAUACUCUAGAGUCUACUCCAUAUUAUUGAGGAAAAUGAUUGAAAAGAAAAAAAAUGGAAUUCAAAUUAUUAUCCUCGGUAUUAUUGAGAACAACUGUUACCAUUGAUCUACCAGCCCAAUAGCUAUUAUUAUUAGUUUUAUAUUAUAAUUCUCUACUGAAAAAUACAAUAUUAUCUCAUUUAGUGUUGAUGUAUGUGGCACAAAAACCAAAUCAAAGGCUACGCCACCUUCACCGGGGCCCUUGCCCAGGUCCCACCCACCACAACAAAAGGCCCGCAAAAAAUUGUUUAUAUUAUAUAUUUAUUGGGUAGUGAAUGGUGAUAUUUUUUAUUUCUUAAAAUACUAAUUAGAGACCAGGUUUGCCCAUACUCGCAUGUGUAAGAGAGAAUCCAUUAUUGAGAAGAAAUUAUCAGUUGGAUUUAGGAGGAGUUAUUUAUGAACAAUAAACUUUUGGCCAAAUAAUCCAAAUAUCAAACAAAUUUGAGGGAAUGCAAAGUGUAGACGAGUAAAAAUUCAAUAAAUGACUAAAGAUUCAAGAAAACAUGAGUAUUAUAAAACUGAUUAAAUUCAUAUUGAGUUUGAAGAUGGAAUAAAACACCAGUAUAAUUGUUUUCAAAUAAUCAUAUGUCUAUAAUUGUAAUUUAUGUUAUUGAUAUUUUAGUAACAAUUAAGUUUAUUAAAAUGUGAGUUUAAUGAGUAACCUAGAGGGUUAAUUAGCCUCAACCUUUAAAAGGUGUCAAAAGGCUACUCUUUGUAUAAUAUAAUAUACUCCACUUAAACUAACCCACUUAAUACUAAAAAUUAACCUUGUAAUGUUUUCUGAAUUAUUUUAGUGUUCAAUAUCAACAAUCAUGAUGUUUUUGAAUGAAACAUACAAAAUGUUUAUAAUGUAAAAAAGAAAUUAGGGUUAUAUGAUGUAAGAAAUUGUUGAACUAAUACAUGUAUAGAUGUAAAUAGGGUAGCAAAAUGAAUUCAUGAAUUAGGUUAAAAGUCGGUAAAUUCAAUAUAAUGAAUUGGGUUAGAAGUUUGAAACUCCAAAGUUUCUAACUUCGAUGUUUAAAUUACAAAUUCAUUAACAAUAGAAUAAACUAACCAUCCUAACUCUAAAAUUUCAACCGAACCAGUGAGCUUAAAUCCACAUUCAUAUUUUGAAUUAGGGUCCAGCUACAAUAAAAAUAUUGUUUCAUACACUAUUUUUUGUCUUUUUGUGAUCCAACCAUUGGAUUCAACUCAAGAGUUGCAAAAGCUAUUCCAACGGCAUGGAUGGACUUGCUUGGUUAUUAACGAUGCAGUCCCUUCUGUUUACUAAAAAAAAUAAGGAAAGAUUAAAUUUCAAAAUUUGACACAUUAGUCCAGUAAAAUAUUUUAUUGUAAAUGAACACAUUUAUAUAUUAAAAAUAUGGAUGGAUUAUUUUAAUUUGCUAAAACACUCUCCACUUCCAUUUACUUAAAAUACCAAUUGGAUUAUAAUAAUAUUAUCUUGUUUUUUGUGUAAUACAAUAUUGGAUAAGGUUUUAUAAAAUUUUUGACAAUAUCAAAAUGAAAAAUAAAUAAAUAUUAAAUAAAUACUUGGAUAGUCAUUUAAAUUUCAUUAUGGAGUUUAUAAAUAAUAUUUUCAAAAUAAUAAAUUUCUAUAUGUAAAUUUGAAAUUAUGUAAAAUUAUUUAUUCCUUAUUACACGUAUGAAGCUGAUUAAUUAUUUAUUUAAUGUGAAAACAAAUGCAUUGUAUAAUAUUUAUUCUAUUACUUAAAUUUAAAAUUAUAAAGAAUGAAACUUAAAUUUAAAAUUGUAAAGAAUGAAUAAUAACUUAAAUUAAUAGAUUAUGGGAGGAUACCUUUCAAAAAAAUUAAAAUUAACAAACUUUUUAGGCUUCUAACGUAACAUUUUUAAUUUUUGUUGUUAACAUAAGACAAAAAUUAAGUCUAAAAACCUCAUUCUAGGGUCUCCUUAGGGUAAAAAAAAAAAUCAUUAUCACAUGAUAAUUUGGUAGCCUAAGUUGUAUUAUUUUUAGUUUACUUAUUCAUGCCAAACACCUUAUUGAGAUUAAAUUUUAGUAAAGUAAACCCAUCCCACCAUCUUUAAUCACAUUCAAUAGGCCCUAAUUGAUUAGAUCUUGUUAUAUAAAGUAAUAUAUAACUCUUUCUUUAUUACAAUGGUAAAGAAAAAAAAACAUAAACACAAUAUAUUUCUUUUGAGAAAAUGCAAGUAUUAUGUUUUUUAGGUUUUGUGUUUAAGAAAUUAAUCUAAUUUAUGUAGUUAGAAGACUCUUAUUUUUUAUGUUUUAGAAGAAUUAUAUGUUUGAUAAUGAAUAAAUUAAGAUUUAAAGUAGGAAAACUAAUUUGAGAAGGAGAUAGAGAGAAUAAAUUUUUUAGAAUUUGAAAAUUAUUAUAUUUUAAUUGGGGCUUAUUACAUAAAAUUAUUAAAACAUAUGGUUUUUAUUAUUUAUAGAAAACAAUAGGGAUUGCUAAAGAAAACACUAAAUAAUUAUUUUAAUUUGAAAUUAUUAUAUUUUAAUUGGGGCUUAUUGCAUAAAAUUUUUAAAAUUUAUAGUUUUUAUUAUUUACAGAAAACUAUAGGGACUGUUAAAGAAAAUACCAAAUUUGAGGGUUUGGUACAACGGUUGCAAAGUAGUUUUGUCCUGAACUAGUGAGACUUUUUUUUUGGCAUAAUUAUAUUUAUUGUAUCAUUCAAUAAAUGGAUCUUAAAAAAAUAAACAAAUCAGUGGGACAUUCAAUUUGUUCACUUAACAAAUUCAAUCAAAAUUGUCCAUUUAUUAGACGAAUUAAUUUUUCAAACCUAAAUGCUUUUAAUUCAAAUAGAAUCAAUAAAUCCUUAUCUAUAUUAUUACCCCUAGAUGUAAACCCUUUUUAUGAGAAAAAAAAGGGUGUUUAUAUGAUAGAAGAAACUAUUGAAUUGUAUUUUUAAAUAUGUUAUAUAUUAUUGAUUUAUCUGUCAUUUUACUCUAGAGUGAAAUUGUAGCAAUAAAAAAUUGAGUAAAAUCUUUAAAUUUAUAUUUUUCAUGACUCACCGUAGAUUCUGGUAUUUCAUAGAUUAAUUCUUUAUUGGCUUAAAAAAAAUCCUACCCAAACUUAAAAAAUUAAGCUAAUAUAGACAUAACAUAAAAAUAAAUAAAUAUGAUAUAUAAUACAGAAUUUUGUAAAUUAUUUUUAAUGUUAAAUACAAGUAUUUUAAUAUUAUUGAUCUGCAAAAUAGAUUUUAUUAAAUUAAAACAUAUAUGAUAGAUUAAUAAUAUUAAAUUAAUUUUUUUAUUCAAAAUAAUUUAUAAAAUAUAUAACAAUUAUAUAUUAUAUUAUUUUAAUAUUAUAUUUUGUAUCUAUCUAUCAUAGAAGUUUAUUUAAAAUCAAUUUUUGGAUUGUUAAAAUCGAUGUGUAUAAUCAUCAAAAAACAUUUGUGUGAUUAUUUAUUAAACCAAGGAGGUCUAUAGCAACAUUUAUGUUCCCAAGGGGGUAUAUAUGCUUUUUUUCCCUGAUUUUUAGAUGAAUUAAUUCUUAAAUGUAUCUAUUUAUCAUUUACUGCAAAGAAGGUGAUCAAAUUAACCAUAAAAAAUACGCAAUGAAAUGUGUGAAAUGCCUGAAAGGCAAUAGGAACUGUGAAAAAUAUUUUUACGGAUUGGACUAGGCAAUGCGGGCCAAUAAUAUCUAGUCCAAAGAUGAGGCUGGGCCAAGUUUAAGUUUCACUUGAUAAAUUUAGAUUCGUCCAAAAACCUGAAUUUUAUGAAAAAAUAUUAUAAAAUACAUUAUUUUAAAUAACUAUAUUUAUUUGACCCAUAGAUUAUACAUAUUUAAAAUUUUAAAUAUUUAAAGUUCAUAUUUGAAAACCCAAAUUCAUUAAAUAAAAUUUAAAAAUCAUAAAACUAAAAUAGGUCCCUACAGCGCAACCCGCUUAGGUCGAAAGCCAUCCCAGCCUGGGCCAUUUGGGUCUUUGCAUUAACCUCAAAAGGAUAAAAAGUGCAUGAGGUAUAGGUGGGGGUGUUCGCGGAUCGGAUUUUACGAAUUGGACAUCAAUCCAUAUCCGAUCCAUGAUUUUGCGGAUUAUAAUUUUUUAAUCCAAUCCAAUCCAUAAAUUGAUAAAAUUCAAUCAAAAUCCAAUCCAUACAUCUGCGGAUCGGAUGCGGAUUUGACUCAAUCCAUAUCCAAUCCAUACGUCUGCGGAUCGGAUGCGGAUUUGACUCAAUCCAUAUCCAAUCCAUUUUGCGCAUUAGUUUUCGAAUUAAAAUUUUUUAGUUCUCUCCAACUAAUGAAAUAAAAAAAAAUCUAAUAUAAAAAUAAUUUUGCUACCAAUUAAAUUUAAAAUUGAAUAAAAUUUAAAUAAAUUAAUUAUUUAAAUAGAGUUAAAAUAAUACAUUUAAAGUUUCAAAAUAUAACAAUCGAGACUAAUUAUUUAAAUAAAGCUACAAUAAUACGUUCAAAGUUUCAAAAUAUAACACACCAAGCUUAAUUGUUCAAAUAAAGUUACAAUAAUACGUUAAUAUAACACCGAAAUUAAUUGUUCAAAUAAAGCCACAAUUAAUUGAAAUGGCGAAGUUUUGGAAACCAAACACGGUCUGAUCCUUCACUAGGGUUGUUGCGCCUGUUGAAAAGUGGUGAUUACUGAGCCGUCCACGAUGGGAACCAGGAGAAGCCGUACGGGUGGCGAUCUUGAAGGUUGUGAUAGUGAAAUUGUUCAGCUGGAACCAGUGAAUGUGAAGUGGCUCGAUGGACUUGGGAAAGAAGAUGGCUUGCUCUCACUGGGAUCGCACGGCCGAUGUCCUUCAAAUCCGUGUCGAGAGUGUAUCCAACCAGUAUUGAGUGUUGUUAGUGUGCGUGACGACGGAGAAGCUUAGGGUUUUUUGUUUGCAAAUUGUUGGUGACUUGACAACAUGUUAUUUUACUUUUGGGUGACUUUGCAAAUUGUUGGUGACUUGACGUUAUGUUACUUUACUUUUGUUAGUGCGUGUGACUUUGCUUUUAUUUUGUUUUACAAUUUUUACACGUUAUAUUUGUAUAUUUGAUUAUUUAAUUAUUUUUUAUUUUUUAUUAUUAUUGGGUAAUGGCUAAGAUAUGUUAUAGUGCUUAUGUAACUAUGUAAUGUCACAUUUAUAAUUUUUUUAAUUAAAUUUAUAAUAAUUUUUUAAUUAUCUAUAUAUAUAUAUAUAUAUAUAUAUUAUUUUAUUUUUUUUGUGCGGAUUCACGGAUUUUUACAGAUUUACAGAAGUAAAUUCAUAUCCAAUCCAUCAAUCCACGGAUCGGAUUUAUACGAAUCGGAUUGAGUGGAUCAGACGGAUUGAGUGGAUCGGAUUGGAUUCUGAACACCUCCAGGUAUAGGUUUUAACCGAAAGAACUUCUUGCGCAAUUCAUGCGUUUCUGCUUUUAUGACCAGAAAUUGUUUCUUGAUUUGAUUUCCAUUUCAAAUUGUUCUCUGGACUUUUUAUCAAUAUGAGGUGAUUGCAAAUAAACAUAUAUAAUAUUAUAAAAUAUAAAUCUGGAUUUUUUAAGCCCAUAAAAGAAAGUCCAUUUGGGGCCGAGAUUUUAGGCUCAACCUCAGUGUUCAAAAAAACAUGCUUGGGCCAAAUUUGAGUAUUGCCAUAUCCGGGACCGACUUGAGUUUUUACCAUGACUAAGCAUAAUCAAUUGGUUCAAAUAAUUUAAUUUCCGGUAAAAUGAUGUGAAAAAUUGUGAAUCAAUUUGGUAAUCUCGUAGAGGCCACUUUGUAACACAGUAAAAGUAUUCAAUUGAUCUGAAAUCAUUGAAUAAUUUUUUGUUGAGGAAGGAUGUCACGUACAACAACAAGAAACAUAUAAUGCUACAAUAAAUUUAGAUCAGCAAUAAUGUUUAGGAUCCUAACAUUUGAGUCUCAACUUGACUCUCAAUGAUAUGUGUCACUCAUCAAUUGAAUAAUGGAUAUAAUAUCUAGUAAAAUUAUUUAACCACCAUUCAAUAGAUGAAUUCCACGUCAGUAGGAACUCAAAUUAAGACUUAUGUUGGGACAUCUAGCAUUGCUCUUCACAUCAGUGGUGAGGCUCCAAGUGGGUUGGGAAAUUUUUAGAAAAUUUACAAAAAUAUCAUAAUGCAAAGUUUAUAAAAUUGCCACUAUUUUAUUUACAGUAGUACCACUCUAUUAAUUUACAAUUUUGUCAUUCAAAUAAAUAUACAGAAAAAAGGGAGCAUUUACUUCAUUCAAGAUUCCAGAACGUGCUUUCUUUCUUGGCUUCUUCAGUUCUUCGUCUUCUUCUUGACAAGAAUAGAUAAUACAUUUAUUGUUUAUUCAAUCAUUUACAGUACACUUAUUAAUUGUUAGGUAGUAAAGACUAAAGAUUAUAUUAUUUAAUUCUUGUUCCAAUUUCAUUGUGUAAAAUUAAAUUAUUGUUGGGUCAAAUGAAGAUAAUUUAGCCAUUAAAUUCUAGCAUUCAAAAAUUUAAAUUAAUUAUUGAUAGAGAUGGAUCAUAGAUUCAAUUCAGUACAUUAUACAUAAAGUUAAUUUGUUAAUUGAAUUUAUUGUUUGGCUUCUGGAUAGUGUUAAUGUGUCGUAGUGACAGAUUGACGGUUCUAUGACUUUUAUUAGUAAAUUUGUGAUUAUUUCUUCUAACUUCUUUUAUAUUUAUACCAUGUUUUGACUGAAACACCCAAACGAGCAUAGACACGACUUCAAAAUAAGGAAGAGAAUGAAUUUUUAUCAAAUUGUAUAGUUAUCUACGUUAAAAGAGAAUUUGUAAACACCGUUAAUUUAAAUUCGAUAAUAGAUGGAUUUAAUUCUCGAAAGUAUGGUAAAUUACUUCUUAGACAUGAUAUAUUUUCUUAUGUAUAACAAAAUUUUCUUUCAAAUUUAUAUUUUUAACCAAGAUAAUAUUUGGAUUUGGAAAAAAUUUAGCCUACCCAAGAUAUUUUUUCUGGCUUCGCCCCUGAUUCAGAUCAUCUAAACUUCCAGAAAUUUCAGAUAAAUAUUACUCCAUUUUGAUUUGUUAUUGUUUCUCAUAUAUUUGCAUAAACACAUUACAUUGUUUUUGCGCUCACUGCAGAAGAUACAAUGAUUUAGUUUUACUUACAACACUGCAUAGGAACUCAAUACAAUAUUCACUAAAUGCUUGUGGAAAGUGCAGAAAGGUACUGAUAGGGUCUCGUAUGAGAACACAAUGAUUUUACCCACAACAGAACCUAGGAACUACAUGCAAUUGCAAAAUCGGUACUAAGAAGCAGAAUACCAAUGCCCUUUAUGAAGGUUUCCACGAAGACAGAGGUGGAGUUUCAGAGUCUUCGUAGGUAGGAGUGACACCCCCAUACCGAUGACCCCUUACAGCAUCUGCUGAAGCAAUAGAUUCAAGCUCAGCCAUUUCUUCUGGAGAAAGUUUCACUGACAGAGCUUUAAUAUUUUGAUUGAGGUUUUCAAUCUUGGUGGUUCCAGGAAUCGGACACACGUCAUUUCCUUGGUGAUGAACCCAUGCUAAUGCAAGCUGAGAUGGGGUGCAUCCUUUCUUUACUGCUAUUUCAUUAACACGUUCAAAUAGCUUUUUGUUAUGCUCUAAAUUUUCAGGUUGGAACCUCGGUAGAUGCUGCAAGAUUUAGAAAACAGCUCAGUACCAAAACUGAACUGCAAUUGAAUCAUUAAAAAAAAGAACAUCAUUUUGGAUAAGAGUAAUGAUACAGCCACAAACUCUUGUACAAACUUAUUUUGUACAAACUGAUGUGGCAUGAUAAGAUUGGUUGAAUUAAAUAUCACUUGGCCCACAUGAUUUAUUUUUAUUAAUUUAUAUUUUCAUUCAACCAAUCUUAUCAUGCCACGUCAGUUUGUACAAAAUAAAUUUGUACAAGAGUUUGUGGCUGUAUCAUUACUCUUUGGAUAAAGCAUGAUUUUAGAGGAGGUUUAUGUAAAAUUCAAUAGACCAGAAAACAAAGAAAAAGGACUAGUCGGGGACUUCUCCUAGGUGGAGGAUGUUUAUAGUAAAACAUUUUGGCAUGUUAGACAAAGGUCUCACAAGAAAUAAACUCUCCUUGGACUUGUCAAUUGAUUUCACAUUGACGUGCAUAGGCAAAGCAAUAUAACAAAAAUGGAAACUGCCACAAGGAUGUAGAAGUUUGGAAGAGUCAUUACAGCUAAACUUCUUGAGCAUCCAGUAAUAGUUUUGAGGUAAUGGAACAAUUUUUUUCCCUCAUUUUUUUUUUCACCUCUAUACAACUUAAGGGGUAUUAUCAUGUAUAUAAAUUGAAUCAGUCAUGUUAAAAUUUUCUGUCCAUCAAUGAAGUAAUUGCAUAGAUAAUUCCUCAUAUUUUCAAUGCAAAGAAAGCUUUUGCUCAUAUUUGAGGAGGUUAAUGAACAUAAUCUGAGGGAAACAAUUGAAAUCUAUGAAGAAUUUCAGAGCUAUAGAGUAAAACUAAACAAGAAUUAUUAUUGUAUUGCUAAAUGAGAAUGAAUGUGUAAUAAAGAAGACAAGUAAUGUAAAUAUGAUGAAAGUAAAAAUACACGAUUAGUAAACACCAAACAUUUAGCUAAUGAUGAAUAAGUUUUGGUAGACAAGUCACUUCAAAAAGGAUUACAGUGUAUUCAGUCCUUAGUAAUUGAAUUUUCAUUUUUCCUCAAUCCUCUCGAUGCAAUCCAUACACAGGCAACUUCAGUGUAAUUAGACGAUCGAAAUGAACUAGUAGAAUAUCUAAGAAAGAGAAUUCUUAAACAAGUCCUACUGGGUUAGGUUAGAAUAACUAUAACUAUGGCUCUAGAUAAAUAUCAGAGGUUUAUAAGAUAAAAUAGUAUGCAAGUCACUGUAGAGUAUCUUGAGAGAAGGUUUUAAACAUGCUUGCAGACAUCGAAUAAUAAAUGCAUGGUAGGCUUACGGACAUGUCUAGAAUCAUCCGGUGCAAUGCUUUCAACCAACUUUGGCCCGGAUGAAAGAAACCCACGUCCUAGAGGACUGUAAGCAACAAUUCCAAUGCCAAGUUCCCUGAGCAGAGCAACCACCAAAAUUGCGUUAGCAUGCAAAUGUUAAAUCAUCUACUCAUAAUUUCUUUUCCUUUCAACUAGGUCAAAACAAUUCAUUUGGCCCAAAUAAUGUCUUACCUGCAAGUAGGAACAAUCUCUUCCUCCACAUCUCGUGACCACAAGGACCAUUCCAACUGCACAGCUGUUAUUGGAUGGACGGCGUGAGCUCGUCUAAUUGUUGAAGCAGAAGCCUCGGAUAGACCUAUAUACUUUAUUUUACCCUCUUCAACUAGUUUCUUGAGUUCCCCAAUCUUACAAAACAACACAAGUAAAAGAAUUAGUACAUGAUAACAGAAACCUCACCCACCGAAGUGACCCAUGUCUGUAUUUUUAAAUAUUCUGUGUUUCAUGUUCAUUGGCAGCCGAGCUACCCAGAGACUAACAGACUAAUAUAGUUUAACAUGCAUGAUUGAGACAAAUAUAUAAAUUAAAAGCGACAAACCGUGACUUCAAUGGGGACUUUAGUGUCAAUGCGAUGUUGGUAAUAAAGAUCAAUACAGUCAACAUCCAGACGCUUCAAGCUGGCCUCACAUGCAGCUCUUACAUAAGCAGGAUCCCCACAGAAUGAGUACUGGCCAUCCUCAUAUCUGAUACCAAAUUUAGUAGCCAAUUCAACUCUUCCUCUGUACCCUCCUUUCAGAGCCUAAUCCCAAAACCAAAUUAAUCAAAGUGAAUAUAUUAUUAUUUGCCAAUUCCAAACAUACCCUUUUGAAAUUAAAGGAAGGAAAUAGAAGAUAAAUUACAUUACCUUGCCCAGAAGGAUUUCAUUUGUGUGAGGUCCGUAAGCAUCGGAAGUGUCAAGUAAAGUGAUGCCACUGUCAAUGGCAUGGUGGAUCAAGGCUAUCAUAUCGGAUUCGGGCUUCGGGGGCCCGUAGAAGGCGGACAUGCCCAUGCAUCCUAAGCCUUGCGCUGAAACCUCUAGACCUUGUGAACCCAGCUUGAUUCUCUUCACUGCCCCCGCCAUUUCUCUUCUAUUAGCCUCUCAACUUUCUGUUGAGUGAGGUUGCUGUUUCUAAGCGAACAAUCUAUAUAUGUAGAUAUAUUGCUCUGCGGGCCUCUCAAAACUCGUAAUGCUAACGUAAUGGAAUAUGUUAGCAUUUACCUCAUUAACUUUACAAAAUCACACAAGAGAGUAGUUAGAUAAAUAAUCGAUACGUCAUAAUGUUAUUUAUUAAUUAUAGAAAAAAUGACAAACACAACUCUAACAUUUAGAUAAAGGGAUAAAAAUGUCUCUAACGUUUUGAAAAAGAAAUUUACACCUCUAUUCACUAAUGAAAACAAUUACUUUUAACGAAAAUAGUAAUUUUAAUAUAUAAUUACCGUUAUACUAUUUUAGCACAUAAAAAUAUAAUUAUUAAUUAUCUGAUUUGUCCAUAUAUUGUUAAUAAAAUUACAAAAAUACUCUCAUUGACCAAUUCCUCUAUUUAAUUUUUUAUCAAAUUAUCUCUUCAAGCCAAAUAAAUUUAAUCCAUUAUCAAUUUUUAUGUCUAUUGGAUAUGUUAUUUAAUACAAUUAAGAUAAGAUUUUUGUAAUUAUUGUUGUAACCAGCCCUUUUUAUUUUAUUUUGUUGAUUAUACAAGUUAAAAUGAUUGACAUGUAGAGAAUUGUUAUUCUUAUGGCAUUAAUAACUAAUUUUAUUUAUUUUUAUUCUUGAGUAAUGGAUUAAAUUUAUUUGGCUUGAUGAGAGAAUUUGAUAAAAAUUUAAACAAUUAUUUGAGCAAUGAGGGUAUAUUUAUAAUUUUAUUAACAAUAUAUGGACAAAUUGGACAAUUAACAAUUAUUUUUUUAUGUGUUAGAACGGUAUAACGGUAAUUAUCUAUUAAAAUUACUAUUUUCGUUAAAAAUAAUUGUUUCUAUUAGUGAAUGGGGACGUAAAUAUCUUUUUUAAAAUGUUAGAAAAUUUUUAUCCCUAUGUCUAAAUAUUGAGGGUGUGUUAGUCAUUUUCCCUUAAUUAUAUUACUGGCAUAAUGCUUCACAAAUAUUUUAAAAUCUUUCCAAUCGAACAAUUAAAAGUUGGCCCAAACUGGCGGCUAAGGGCUGUCAAAUUAACAAGAUGUGGGAGUAUGAUUUUAUCAUAUCAUGAUAAUGGAAGCACUUGAGAAGCCAGGUCUUUCAUGGGACCAAAAGAAAUAUUGGCUUCUACUCAAGUUGGUUGCUUCCUUGGCUUGAGACCUGUAAAGCUGGAACUUGUUCAACAAAGACUUGGCAAAAUCCAUUGCCUUUAAUCUGUUUUUAACAUAAAGUAUAAUAACAUGGCCAGUGGCAAAUUGGGAAUGUCAACUAGUAUCCACUAUUUAUUUGAUUAUUUCUAUGAUUUUAAGAUCUGCCCUUGGAAUCUGGACUUUGUGGUGCUGGAUGUAUUUGAUUAUAUAAAUGUACUAAUAUCGCUCUCAUGAGAUGAUUACUGAAUUUGAGUGGACCAAAAAAGUUAAAAGAUUAAUAAAUUAAUUAAAUUGGAGAUUUGGAGUCAUAAUCAAGUGUUUGCAUGGUGGUCGUGGAAAUAUUUUGGAUCCCACCGUGGAUUUACAAUAUAAAUGUUGAAGGCGCUGUUGAUCCCACUGUCCCACAUGGCAUGACUUUGCAACAUCUCAUCUGCUUUAUAUUAGAAAUCCUAGAAAUUAACCAGAUGUGGGAGUAAUAAUAAUUCUCCACUAAAAAAGCCAAAUCCAGGGCUGCGCCGGCUUCGCCUGCACCACGAGCAAAGGCCCACUUAUUUGCGUCACCCAUUACAGCAUCUGAUAUGGAUUAAACCCAAACACUUAAAGUAGGAUUUAGUUCAAAAAGUUUUAAUUUAAGUUGGAGUAUUUAUUUUUCUUUUUUUUCAAUGUUUAUAAUGAGGUUCAACAUUUAAAAUAAACAACAUAUUACUAUUAUUUUUAAAAUUUAAGAGGAAAAAUAGAAUUUGAGUUUUUGAGAAUGAAAUAUAUAGAGAAAUAAAAUUAUAUGGCUAUUGAAAUUUGAACCAAGUCUCUAAAAUCACUAAAAAGCACAAUUAUCACUAAAUUAUAAGUAUUUUGUUAUAUAAAAAAUAUGCCCAAAUUCUUUUUAUUUAAUUUUUUUAGAAAGAGCUCAGGGUACAUUUUAAAGGAAAAGUAAUGGUCUAGGAAAGGCUUCAUAAUUGCCCAGGAGGAGCCGCCCAUGACUGUCACUAUCUUUCAAAAAAUUUUGACAAAAAAAAGUAAUUUUUAUUUUUUUUUUGUGAAGCUUAAGGCCCUAUUUGGUAUUGUUUUCCAAAUGUUGUUUUCUUGAAAUAAAAAUAAGAAUGAAAAUGUUAUUUUUAAAUUUUAAAAUAUAUUUAGUAUCAUUUUUGAAUACUUAUCUAGUAUUUUCUGAAUUUAGAAAAUAAAAAAUUAGAUUUGAAAACAAUAUUGUACGCACCCUAAUAUUUAAAUUAUCUCUUUUGAACUAUCUGGCUCUAUAGCAAUUUGUAAGAGAAAUAUUGUCUUUUGAUCAUUCUAUUAUCUUAGAACUAGGGUCUAAGGUCAUGUUUGGUAUUGAAGUACUGCACCUUUUGAGUUACAAUUGUUAUGAAAAAAAUAUUGUAACUAUAAAGUAAAAGUUAAUAGUAUGUAAUAAAUAUAAUUUUUAAAUAAUAAUUUUUUAAAAAUUAGUAAAGAUAUAAUAAAUUUUUCAUCAUACAAAUAUAAAAUCAAAUCAACUUAGUUUUCAAGCUAUACCGGCCAGUGUUUACCAAAUACUUUAAUGCUAUUCUUUUUACCAAAUACUUUAGUGCUAUUCUUUUUACACUAUAGUCGUUCAACCUCAAUCCCAAAUAGGACAUAAGUAUGAAAAUCACUCGAUGAAUAAUCUUUUAAGUAUUUGAGUGAGAUAUUAUAGUGAUUUUUUUUUUCUAAAUACUUGAAAAUUAAUCUAAUCUGUAAUGAAAUUCUUGCAGACUUCUUGUCGUAACUAUAUUGUCAAUAAUGAUAGUCACAUGCUUACAAAUUUUUUAUGUGUUUUUUAAAGGAUGGGUAAAAUCCAAAUCAAUUUUUUUCUUAUAAUCUUUGUAGGAUUCGAACUCCAAUAGUCAGUCAAAUGAAACUAAUUAAAAACUGGUUAAAUCAAGUGCUUACAUGUAAUAACUAAAAUUAUAGAGAACUUAUAAAUACUUUUGCCCAGAAGGAUUUCAUUUGUGUGAGGUCCGUAAGAAUCGGAAGUGUCAAGUAAAGUGAUGCCACUGUCAAUGGCAUGGUGGAUCAAGGCUAUCAUAUCGGAUUCGGGCUUCGGGGGCCCGUAGAAGGCGGACAUGCCCAUGCAUCCUAAGCCUUGCGCUGAAACCUCUAGACCUUGUGAACCCAGCUUGAUUCUCUUCACUGCCCCCGCCAUUUCUCUUCUAUUAGCCUCUCAACUUUCUGUUGAGUGAGGUUGCUGUUUCUAAGCGAACAAUCUAUAUAUGUAGAUAUAUUGCUCUGCGGGCCUCUCAAAACUCGUAAUGCUAACGUAAUGGAAUAUGUUAGCAUUUACCUCAUUAACUUUACAAAAUCACACAAGAGAGUAGUUAGAUAAAUAAUCGAUACGUCAUAAUGUUAUUUAUUAAUUAUAGGAAAAAUGACAAACACAACUCCAAUAUUUAGAUAAAGGGACAAAAAUCCCCCUAGCAUUUUAAAAAAUACAUUUACACCCCUAUUCACUAAUGAAAACAGUUACUUUUAACGAAAAUAGUAAUUUUAAUAUAUAAUUAUCGUUAUACCAUUCUAGCAUAUAAAAAUAUAAUUGUUAAUUAUCUAAUUUUUCCAUAAAUUAUUAAUAAAAUUAUAAAUAUGCCCUCAUUGACCAAUUCCUCUGUUUAAUUUUUUAUCAAAUUAUCUCUUCAAGCCAAAUAAAUUUAAUCCAUUAUCAAUUUUUAUGUCUAUUGGAUAUGUUAUUUAAUACAAUUAAGAUAAGAUUUUUGUAAUUAUUGUUGUAACCAGCCUUUUUUUUUAUUUUGUUGAUUAUACAAGUUAAAAUGAUUGACAUAUAGAGAAUUGUUAUUCUUAUGGCAUUAAUAACUAAUUUUAUUUAUUUUUAUUCUUGAGUAAUUGAUUAAAUUUAUUUGGCUUGGUGAGAGAAUUUGAUAAAAAUUUAAACAAUUAUUUGAGCAAUGAGGGUAUAUUUAUAAUUUUAUUAAUAAUAUAUGGACAAAUUAGAUAAUUAAUAAUUAUUUUUUUAUGUGUCAGAAAAGUAUAACGGUAAUUAUAUAUUAAAAUCACUAUUUCCGUUAAAAAUAAUUGUUUCCGUUAGUAAAUAGGGGUGUCUUUUUUAAAAUGUUAUGAAAUUUUUAUUCCUUUACCUAAAUAUUGAGGGUGUGUUAGUCAUUUUUCCUUAAUUAUAUUACUGGUAUAAUGCUUCACAAAUAUUUUAAAAUCUUUCCAAUCGAACAAUUAAAAGUUGGCCCAAACUGGCGGCUAAGGGCUGUCACAUUAACAAGAUGUGGGAGUAUGAUGACUGACUCACAGCGGGCCUCACAAACUCGUAAUGUCAAUAAUGUAAUGGAAUACGUCUAGAUCUAAUGAACGAUCAAUUAAAUGGUUAUAUGUAAUAAUUAAUAUUAAAGAGAAUUUAUGAUUGCUACCAAAAAUAUAUUGAGGACAACUUGAAAAUCUACUACGGUCUUAUAAUUAAAAAAAAAUGAAUUUUUAGAGAAUAAUAAUUCUCCACUAAAAAAGCCAAAUCAAGGGCUGCGCCGGCUUCGCCUGCACCACGAGCAAAGGCCCACUUAUUUGCGUCACCCAUUACAGCAUCUGAUAUGGUCCAGGGAUGGCAAAAUUUUUCAGACCCGGCCCGGAUCCAGAUAAAUCCGGACGAUCCGGUCCGGGUUAAACCCGCUCUGGGUGCAUAAAAAUACAGAUUCGAGUAGUAUUUUUUUAAAUCCGGAUACAUGCGAGUCCGGUUGCGGAUACCCGGAUUCUGAGAACCCGGACCUGCACUACAGUAUUAAUAAUUAAUUAAUUAAUUUUUAUUAUUAAAUAUAAAUAUAAAAGCCAAAAGUUAAAAAAAAAAAAAGUAAAGAAAUGAAAAGAAACCCUAAAUCCCCACCCCAGCCACCACCUUUAUUGUCCUCUUCCUCGACAUCAAUUCAAUUCAUCAUCAUCCACCCAUCAUCAAUUCAUCAUCAACAAUAAUAACAAUCAAUAUCAUCCUCAACAUCAAUUUAAAUCAUUGUCAAUUCAUCAUCAAAAGCAACAAACAAUCUUUGGCACCAUCAAAUUCAACCUUAUCUCUCAUCUCUCAUCAAAUUCGAUCUCAUUUCUCUCUUGUUCUUGGAUGCUAGAUCUCAACCCUUGCUCGCUGCUCUCAUGGCUGCCGCCUCCUGGACUCGCUGGUGCCUCAACCGACACCUCAAAGAAACUGCUAAUCCACUCUUGCCGCCGCGCGAUCUCAUCUCUCUCUUGUUCGUGGAUGCUGGAUCUCAAACCUUGCUCACUGCUUUCAUGGCCGCUGCCUCCUGGACUCGCCAGUGUCUCAACCGACACCUCAAAGAAACAUCUAAUCCACUCUUGUACAGAGUCAAAAGGGGCAUGCAUAAAGGCUUCAUUGUUCCAGCCUCCAACUUUCCGGGUUUAAAGCCCGCAAUCGGGAAACCCGGAUUUUCCGGGUUGAACCCGUACCGGACCCGGAGAAAGAAAAUGCGGGUUUUUAUCCGGAGCCGGGAAGGAGAAUUGGCAUAUGGGUCCGGAACCGGAAAUACCAAACACGGACCCGGACCCGUUUUUGCCAUCCCUAGAUAUGGAUUAAACCCAAACACUUAAAGUAGGAUUUAGUUCAAAAAGUUUUAAUUUAAGUUGGAGUAUUUAUUUAUUUAUUUUCAAUGUUCAUAGUGAGGUUCAACAUUUAAAAUAAACAACAUAUUACUAUUAUUUUUAAAAUUUAUGAGGAAAAAUAGAAUUUGAGUUUUUGAGAACGAAAUAUGUAGAGAAAUAAAAUUAUAUGGCUAUUGAAAUUUGAACUGAGUCUCUAAAACCACUAAAAAGUACAAUUAUCACUAAAUUACAAGUAUUUUGUUAUAUAAAAAAUAUGCCCAAAUUCUUUUUAUUUAAUUUUUUUAGAAGGAGCUCAAGGUACAUUUUAAAGGAAAAGUAAUGGUCUAGGACAGGCUUCAUAAUUGCCCAGGAGGAGCCGCCCAUGACUAUCACUCUAUCUUUCAAAAAUUUUUGACAAAAAAAAGUAAUUUCUUUUUUUUUUUUUGUGAAGGUUAAGGCCCUAUUUGAUAUUGUUUUCCAAAUGUUGUUUUCUUGAAAUAAAAAUAACAAUGAAAAUGUUAUUUUUAAAUUUUAAAAUAUAUUCAGAAUCAUUUGUGAAUACUUAUCUAGUAUUUUCUGAAUUUAGAAAAUAGAAAAUUAGAUUUGAAAACAAUAUUGUCCGCAUCCUAAUAUUUUAAUUAUCUCUUUUGAACUAUCUGGCUCUAUAGCAAUUUGUAAGGGAAAUAUUGUCUUUUGAUCAGUCUAUUAUCUUAGAAUUAGGGUCUAAGGUCAUGUUUGAUAUUGAAGUACUGUACCUUUUGAGUUACAGUUGUUAUAAAAAAAAAUGUUGUAAUUAUAAAGUAAAAGUUAAUAGUAUGUAAUAAAUAUAAUUUUUAAAAAUAAUUUUUAAAAAAGUAGUAAAGAUAUAAUAAAUUUUUCAUCAUACAAGUAUAAAAUCAAAUCAAUUUAGUUUUCAAGCUAUAUCAGCUAGUGUUUACCAAAUACUUUAGUGCUAUUUUUUUUACCAAAUACUUUAGUGCUAUUCUUUUUACACUACAACCGUUCAACCUCAACCCUAAAUAGGACAUAAGUAUGGAAAUUACUCGAUGAAUCAUCUUUUAAGUAUUUAAGUGAGAUAUUGUAGUGAUUUGUUUUUCUAAAUACUUGAAAAUUAACCUAAUCUGCAAUGAGAUUCUUGCAGACUUCUUGUCGUAACUAUAUUGUCAAUAAUGAUAGUCACAUGCUUACAAUUUUUUUUAUGUGUUUUUUAAAGGAUGGGUAAAAUCCAAAUUAAUUUUUUUCUUAUAAUCUUUGUAGGAUUGGAACUCCAAUAGUCAAUCAAAUGAAACUAAUUAAAAAUUGGUUAAAUCCUUAGGUGGGCAAUCAAGUGCUUACAUGUAAUAACUUAAAUUAUAGAGAACUUAUAAUUACUUUUGUAAGCAACCCAAAGUAUAUUAAGACUAACUUGAAAUUCUAUCACGUCUUAGUAAAUACUCAAAAAAUUUACUUUAUACUGUUGAGAAAAUGAGUAAAAAAAAGCCAUGGAAUUCAAAUAGUGUCCUCAAUAUUAUUGUGAAUACCUAUCAGCAUUGAUUAAUUAGUCCAAUGGCUAUUUUUUUUUAGAAGAUAAGCAUGUAUUUGAUAUUAUUUAUGUUUUGCUAUUUUUCAUUUUCCAAGAAAAAAAAACAGUGUAAAAUUUGUUUGGUACACUUAUUUUAUGAUAUUUAAUUUCAAGUAAGAAUGUUUAAUCUCAUUCUCUAACUUUAGAGAAGAAAAUUGGACAACAAGACAUUCAUGAUUUUCAAUUUUCAUUUUUUAAAUGGGUACUACAAGUACCACUUGAACAACAACAAAAUAAAAAUCAUGUCUGUUAUUAUGUGGGCCCAUUACCAAUAUUUAUUUUAUAAUCCAAUUCUAAUUAUCUUUAAUACUUUUUAAUUAUUUUUUAUUCAACAAUACUAAUUGUAUUAUUUGGUAAUUUUUAAAAGGUUGUCUAUUAGUAAAAUUUAUUUAUUAUUUAUUCUAAUAUUAAUGAUACUCCCUAAAAAUCAUUUUAUCUAAUUUUUUAUAAUUAAAAAUUUUAAAUAAUAAAAAGUAAUUGAAAUUUCAAAUAAUAAAAAAUUAAUUGAAAUAUAUUAUGAUUAAAAAUAAUUUUAGUUCAUCUAAAUAUUAUAUCAUAGUAUGUAAUUUUUUUCUCACUCUCUUUUACCGUCUUCACUUUUUAAACAACUCAAACAUUUUCAAAUUUUCAUUUUAUAAGUAUAUUUUAGAAAGAAGGCUCUUUCUAUUAUGCCUUGAUUAAAGUAACGGUAUCAAUACUGUAAUUAAACAUAAUUUAUGUAAAUAAAAUAUAAAACUUGUAAAUCAAUAUUAAUUGUAAAAUACAUAAAUUUUAGAAAUUAAACAUAAAACUUGUAAAUUGAAGGUAAAAUGAGUAAAUUAAUAUAAAACUCGUAAAUUGAUAUAUUAUUAGUAAAUAAAACAAAAAUUUGUAAUAUAACAUAAAACUUGUAAAUUAACCUUAAGUGCAAAAUAAAGCACAAAUGUAAAUGGAGGAUAAAACAAGUAAAUUAAUAUAAAACUAGUAAAUUAAUGUAUUACUAGUAAACAAAACAAAAACUUACAAAUAUAACUUAAAACUAGUAAAUCAACAUUAACAAUAAAAUAAAGGGUCACCCUAUGUUACGUUGAGUGUAACAUACACACACUCACAGCAACAGUAACAAGUCUCAUCAUUAACACUGUUGCUGUGAGUGUGUGUAUGUUACACUCAACGUAACAUAGCAGUGGCCUAAAAUAAAACAUAAAUUUUGGAAAUGAAGUAUAAGACUUGUAAAAGGAAAGUAAAAACAAGUAAAUUACUAUAAAAUUAGUAAAUUUAUGUAUCAUUAGUAAGUAAAACGAAAACAUACAAAUAUAAUAUAAACCAAGUAAAUCAAUAUUAAGUGCAAAAUAAAACAUAAAAUUUGUAAACUAUGCUCAAAACUUAUGAAUAAAAGGUAAAAUAAGUAAAUUAAUCUAAGAGUUACUAACAAAAAAGCUCUUAUAAACUAAAAACUCAUUAUAAUAUUUAUUACCUUAUAUAUUUAAUGAUUUUUUAAAAAUUAAAUUGCAUAAUGCUAGUUUUUCAUUUAUGUAGUACAUGUGAUGUUUUAUUAAGGAUGAAAUUUAUUCGCAGAAUUGGAUUUUGAAAAAAAAAACUAUUUUAAUAUCUUUUAUAGUUGUUGUAACAUGAGAUUAUUUUGCAUCCUUCUACACUUCUGCAACAACAACCAUAAAUGGUCUCUUAAGUACAAGUAAAAAGUUUGAAACUAGGGGUGGGCAAAAUCGGGUUCGGAUCGGGUUCGGAUCAACCCGAUCGGAUUUCGGGUUCAUCGGGUUGGAGAGAAACUCAUCCGAACUCAACCCGAAUUUUAGAUCGGAUCGGAUCGGAUCGGGUUAUAUUCGGGUCGGGUCGGAUCGGAUCUAAAAUUCGGAUCAAUUUCGGGUCAAUUCGGGUUAAGGACAAAAAAGAGUCAUUUGUGUUAAUUUUGGGUUGUUUAAUAAUUAUUUAAUAAUUACAAGAUCACUUUUAUGCAAUUAGUUCAUUUUAGUCCAUUUCCACUUUCCAGUGACUGUCAUAAAAAAAAAUAAACUGAAAUAGAAUUGAAAAAGUUGUGAGCUUGGAGGACUUGGUGUCAUGAAUCUCAGUCUCGGUCUCGUUGGAAGAACAACCAUGGAUCGCUUCGCGCGGGUCAAGCAGCAGCCGAUGGAUCAAGCGGCAACGGGUUUCGUCAAUGGCUCAUGGCUUCACGGGUUUUGUCGGUGGCUACCAGAAAAGCAGAUCCGAUCGAAGUGAAGUGCAGCAACCGUCGAUGCAGCAGCAAGCAGAUCCUGUCGUCAGUGCAGCAGAUCUGGUCGAGUGGUGUGCUGCAUGUGGCCCGCUGCUGUGCUAACCGUCUGUAGUUUUGUUGCGAGAAAGAAGAGAAAGAAGACAGUGAAGAGAAAAAAGAGAGUUGUUUGUGUGAGUUGUGAGAAAGAAGAGAAAGAAGAGAGUGAAGAGAAAGAACACGGAGAGUGAGAAAGAAGAGAAAGAAGAGAAAGAAGAGAGUGAAGAGAAAGAUUUAGGUUUUUUUAGGUUGUUUGUGUGUGGCGUGUGUGUUUAGAUUUAGGUUUUUUUGUUUUUAAAGCAACCCGAUCGGGUUUGCGGAUCGGAUCGGAUUUGACCCGAUCCGAUCACAACCCGAUCGGGUUUCACCAUCUUCAUCCGAUCGGGUUUCCUUUAUAACCCGAUCCGAUCCGAAUCUGAAAUUUUUCGGAUCGGGUCGGAUCGGAUCGGGUCGGGUCGGAUAUUUUGCCCACCCCUAUUUGAAACUACAUGAAGCAUACAUAGAACUCAAAAUUAGAUAUAAUUUUAUUGAUAUAUCAUAUAUGUGUCCAGUAAUAUGAGAAUAAUUAUUUAUUUAUUUAUUCAUUUGCUUGAUCCACGUCAAGAUAAAUAAUUGCACUUAAUUAACUUGUGUAAUAAACAUAUAUCAUUAUAGAAAAUGGGAAAAAUUAUACAAAUGUCAUUAAAUAAAUAUAGAAUUUAUGGUUAAACCAAUUCAAUAAAAUAUAUUUAACUUUUUUUGUACAAUUUUUGUUUAAUUAAUGAGUAAUUUUUUCUUUAUAUUUUUGUAAAUGAAUAAAAUAUGUUUCACUAAAAUUGUGCAGAAGCAAUGUUAAUUUUUUAAAUAAUUAAUAAUCUUGUACGAAGUUACUUGUUUUACUUUAUAUUUACUAAUUUUAUAUGAAACUAGUAAAUAUAAAGUAAAGCAAGGAAAUUCAUACAAGAUUAUUAAUUAUUUAAAAAAUUAUAAAACAUUAUUUGAAUGGCAAUACCAAUUGCACCCUAGUCCGUACAAUUUCACGUCAUUCAAUGUUGAUAACGUGGCUGGCACAAAGGCCAAAUCAGAGGCUGCGCGGGCGUCACCUGGGCCUUUGCCUGGAUCCUACCCUUCGCAAGCAAAGGCCCACGAUUAUGUAUCACCCAUUAAUCCUUCUAGAGAAUCUGCUAUAGAUGUAAAUGGACCCUCAUUCUCAUUUUCACUGUUUUGAUUUUUCAAAAUUCCUUUUUUUUUUUUUGAAGUUUAAUGCAUUUUAUUAUCUCCCUCAAACUAUUUGGCUAUGGUAAUUGGCAAGGGGAAAAUUGUCUUUUAACCAUUCUAUUACCUUAAGACAACGGUCAAGUAUUGGAACCAUGGUGAAUCAUUUUUUAGGGAUUUCAGUCAACUUAUAAACAUUAUAGAGAUUGAUUUUUUUUUUGCGAAAUAUUCGAAAAUAAAUGCAGCACUAAGAGGUUCUUGUAAACUAUUAAAUUCAAAUCAAUAAAAGUAGCAAUAAUAGCGUAAGUCCAGAAUCUAUCAUAUAUCAAUACCACUCUCAUACAGUUGUUGUUAAAUCAGGCCUAAAAAAUAUAUAUUUUUUCUUUAAUUUAAUAAAAUUAUCAAAAGUCAGAUUUUUUUUUCUUGAUUACAUAAAAAUGCAUAAAAUUAGAGAAACGCCUUAAAUUUCCUAUUGAAGAUUUGAAGACAACUACUUUAAUUUUUUCCACUACUAUUAUUGGGAUCUGUAGGAUAUGGUUGUAGUUUUCUCGACUAUCAUCAAUAGUCUCCCUCACACAUGAGGGCAUAUAGAGAACUCUAAUUCCCAUUUCCUCUUCUUUAUAUAGGCAUUUAUUAAAGUCAAGAUAUAACUAGAAACUAAGCUAACAAAGGGUAUCCAUGAACUUCCUAAAUCCAACUUCAUAGGUAAGUCUCAGUCAUAUUAUGACUCCCUAAAAUAACUAAGUUAACCCUAAGCUAUUCUACUAAAAGUCCGAUGUUGCACUCUAAUGAACCAUGUAACAAAUAAAAGCCUAAUUAAUUAAGAUUUCUUUUAAUUAAUAUUAGACAUGAUUUUAAACCAAUAAUUACCACUUAAUUGACUCUUUAUUUGAUAAUCUUAAUUAAAUCCAGCCCAUGAUAAAUGUUCUUUCUUUGUAAUUACAUAUAUAUCCCUCGGUCACUAUUUAUUCUAACUAUCACUGUUAAUAUAUUUGUAAAUAGAUUACAAAUAAAUGUUAUUAAUUAAUAAAUAAUUUAUUGAAUAAAUUAUAACCACAGAUUUAAAUGAUCAAUAUAGGGAUGGCAAAAUGCAAGCUUAGACUAGGCUUUUUCAAGCCCGUUAGAGGGAAAGUAUAAGGGGUAAGCUUGGGCCGGGGUUGGGUUAGGUUGGGCUUUCACUUAUUUUUUUCAUUUUAAUUUUUUUUUUUAAAAAACUUGAAAUGAAUUAAUAGUCAAUGAGUUGUUAUAAUCGGCAACGAAAUAAAGAAAAUGAAUGUUUCAAAAUAAAAUAAUAAAUAAAGAAAACACAACAAAAAAAAGUGUAGAGAUUUAAAUUUUUUAAUACUAGAUUUUUUAAUUCAAGUAUCUUCUUAAUUAAUUAACAUUUAAAAGAGAGUUUAUUAUUAUAAUUUUAGAUUUUUUGAUUCAUUAUUGAUAUAUAAAUUAGGGACUUAAGCUUUCUUUUUUUUUUUUCCAUUAUUUCAUAAAAUUUUAAUUUAUUAUUCAAAUUUCUAAUUUAUUUUUUGAAAAAAAAUAGAGGGCGUGUGCUUAGAUUUGUUUUUACUUAAGCCCUUAUCCAGACCGUUCAUAUGGAGGCUCGAGCCAAAUCUCAUAGCAAUGGGCUGGGCUCAUCCCUAUGAUCAAAUACUACAAAUAGCUUAGGUAAGCAUCAUUUGUAUAGAUUCCAUCUUGUAAGUAUAUAUAUUUCUAUAAUCCAUGAAAUUAUAUCUCCAAAUUAUUAACGUUUUGACCGUUUAUACAAAUCUUACUUUGUGACGACUCAAAAGACAUAAUACCUGAAUGUGCGCUAGACUCCUUUACCCUUUAUUAGCGUUAUAUUACCCACUCAGGAUUAAGAUCGAUCAAGCUUAUUAAAGCUUGUAUAGAUUAUGAUUAGCAACAUAUGUUAGAUUAGAUCAUAAUUCAUUACAAUCUUGUUCAUUACAUAUAUAUCUCAUAUACAUACUAAUUUUUCUACUUGAAGUCUCUACUUCAGUGAUUAAGAUAAAGUUACUUAACAAUAAAAAUACAAAAUAUACAGCCUUAUAAAAUAAAAUAACAUUUCAUUAAUGGAUGUGAAUAAUCUUUUAUUUAUAAAGAAUUUGUGAUUUUUAUCUUCUAUCUUGACAUCAUAUGUCCAAUAUAUAAAUCAAAUACUUUAUAAAUAAGGGCUAAUAAUGUAUGCUCAAAUAAAUAAUAAAUAAAUAAAUUUUAAUAAAUUUAGAAAUUUUUAUUUUAUUGCAUGCUGUAAGAGUACAAAAUAAUAAUAAGUGUAAUAGUAAUUAUAUUGUCAAUAAUGAUACUCAAAUACUUAUACCUUUUUUUUUGUGUUUUUUUAAAAGUAAAGGGUGGUAAUACCAAAUCAGUUUUUUCGCAUCUAACCUUUGAGGAUUCGAACUCUAAUUACCAAACAAAUAAAACUACAUGGAAAUCAGCUAAGCCUAGGGGCGGCCAAUCAAAUGCUUACAUGUACUAAGCAAAACAAAAGAGAACUUAUAAUUACUUUUGUAAACAACAAAAAGUAUAUUGAGACUGUUUAAAAAUCUAUUACGCCCUAGUAAAUACUCUAGAGUCUACUCCAUAUUAUUGAGGAAAAUGAUUGAAAAGAAAAAAAUGGAAUUCAAAUUAUUAUCCUCGGUAUUAUUGAGAACAACUGUUACCAUUGAUCUACCAGCCCAAUAGCUAUUAUUAUUAGUUUUAUAUUAUAAUUCUCUACUGAAAAAUACAAUAUUAUCUCAUUUAGUGUUGAUGUAUGUGGCACAAAAACCAAAUCAAAGGCUGCGCCACCUUCACCGGGGCCCUUGCCCAGGUCCCACCCACCACAACAAAAGGCCCGCAAAAAAUUGUUUAUAUUAUAUAUUUAUUGGGUAGUGAAUGGUGAUAUUUUUUAUUUCUUAAAAUACUAAUUAGAGACCAGGUUUGCCCAUACUCGCAUGUGUAAGAGAGAAUCCAUUAUUGAGAAGAAAUUAUCAGUUGGAUUUAGGAGGAGUUAUUUAUGAACAAUAAACUUUUGGCCAAAUAAUCCAAAUAUCAAACAAAUUUGAGGGAAUGCAAAGUGUAGACGAGUAAAAAUUCAAUAAAUGACUAAAGAUUCAAGAAAACAUGAGUAUUAUAAAAUUGAUUAAAUUCAUAUUGUGUUUGAAGAUGGAAUAAAACACCAGUAUAAUUGUUUUCAAAUAAUCAUAUGUCUAUAAUUGUAAUUUAUGUUAUUGAUAUUUUAGUAACAAUUAAGUUUAUUAAAAUGUGAGUUUAAUGAGUAACCUAGAGGGUUAAAUAGCCUCAACCUUUAAAAGGUGUCAAAAGGCUACUCUUUGUAUAAUAUAAUAUACUCUACUGAAACUAACCCACUUAAUACUAAAAAUUAACAUUGUAAUGUUUUCUGAAUUAUUUUAGUGUUCAAUAUCGACAAUCAUGAUGUUUUUGAAUGAAAUAUACAACAUGUUUAUAAUGUAAAAAAGAAGUCAGGGUUAUAUGAUGUAAGAAAUUGUUGAACUAAUACAUGUAUAGAUGUAAAUAGGGUAGCAAAAUGAAUUCAUGAAUUAGGUUAAAAGUCGGUAAAUUCAAUAUAAUGAAUUGGGUUAGAAGUUUGAAACUCCAAAGUUUCUAACUUCGAUGUUUAAAUUACAAAUUCAUUAACAAUAGAAUAAAUGAACCAUCCUAACUCCAAAAUUUCAACCGAACCAGUGAGCUUAAAUCCACAUUCAUAUUUUAAAUUAAUCCACUGGUUCGUUUGAAAUUACAAAUCCAUUAACAUUACAAUUAAAAUCCUCAAAAUAAAUAUUUUGAACUAGUGAGACUUUUUUUUUUUUUUUUGCAUAAUUAUAUUUAUUGCAUCAUUCAAUAAAUGGAUCUUCAAAAAAUAAACAAAUCAGUGCGACAUUCAAUUUGUUCACUUAACAAAUUCAAUCAAAAUGGUCCAUUUAUUAGACGAAUUAAUUUUUCAAACCUAAAUGCUUUUAAUUCAAAUAGAAUCAAAUGGAAUCAAUAAAUCAUGAUCUAUAUUAUCACCCCUAGAUGUAAACCCUUUUUAUGAGAAAAAGGGUGUUUAUAUGAUAGAGAAACUGUUGAAUUAUAUUUUUAAAGGGUAAUUUUCAGAAACCUCCCCUGAGGUUUGGGGUAUUCUCACCUUGAUAGAAUGUAUUCACGUAUUCUCAGUGACCUCCCCUCACGUUAGUAUUCCCAUUCUUAGACUGUUUGUUGACUGACAAAAUGUCUAAAAUACCCUUGACUUACGAAAAACAUAUUUUUCAUGUUCAAAACAGUGCAUUGUUGGUUGAUAGCAUUACAUCUGUUUUGGCGCCAAAGGCUAUAAACACAAUAAAGUUACCAGAUCAUUCUCAUCCAUUCCCAAAAUAAUUUACAGCUGAAUUAGGGUAAAAAAAUUAAAAAUAAAUUUAGAAAUUAUAAUUGUUACUGCCAAUAUUUAUGUUUGUUGGCUAUAUAAUUAGCCAUUGCCAAGCUCAACAAACAACAAAGCCUCUGCUACUCAUAACUAAAGCUUUCUUCUUCCUUCAACAUUAUCAAAACAUCACUACCAAUAUCCUCUCAUACCUCCAUAUCAACCAUGCAUCUACAAACUCUUCAAAAAUCAUUCAAAUCUCACCACUUUCCAAUCAUUAUUCAAAGUUGGAACACCUAUGCAUGUCAAUGUAUUCUCAAAGAACACUCUUGCUGCCAAAGCUGCUGCUGCAGGAUUAACUAUCGACUAUCUCUUUAGGCUUGGGUUAGUUGCCCUUUAUUAAUAAAAAUAUCGUAUUAGUAUGCAAUUUAUAGUGAAUAUAAGUCAUGGAAAUAUUGUAAACACAUACAUAAGUAGAUUCAAACAAUCGUGGUUCUACUCGUUAAACACUGUUAUGCUACAAAACAUACUACAAUAUACUUGAUUUCAACAGUAGUAGCAACUUAUAUUUCUAUUCAAUCUAACAACAUUUUGCAGAAAUUUUAAUGCAAAGAGACUACGUAUAACAGAACUAAGAUUUUAUUCAUAACAGAAAUAACAAGCUAUUGCCAAUCAUCAAGUCAUUGCAGUUGAUCUAUCACAAAAUUUAUAUCUUUUUUUUUUUUCUUGUUUUAACAUUAUGGAACCAUUACUUUAUUAUUUCAAUGUACACCAAUAUUAAGCCCUAUCAUGCAGCUUCAUUAUUGACACUUUCUAUUGAUGAAAUUAAAACUGAUGAACAACCGAAAUAAAACAUUUAUGUGAAUCUUAAAGACUGAACACACUGACCCAACACAAAAUGGUUGGCAACCAUCUAACACUAUAGAACACAGUUGAUGAAGAUAACCUUUCAAAUGAAUUUUGUAUUAACAUGUUGCUGCAUACAUAUAUAAUCUUACAACUUUAUGGAAAAUCACACUAAAUAUGAACAGAAUCUUGGAUUUUCUAAAACUAGAAAAUCUCAAUAAUACAAAAAAAUCUAAUGUCCUUAAAUAUUACAUUUACUCCUAAUGGUUAUAAAUUCAACCAAGGCAUGUCAAAUACCAAAAAGCUAUCCGCGAAAAGGAUUGAAGCAUUUUCUUUUAUAGAAUACUAAUUACAAACUUCAAUUUAUUUUCAACAUGCAUUUGGGUUACUCCAUUCACUACAACUAACAUUAAUUGAUGACAAAAAUAAGAAGCAUCAGCCAUAUUCUCAAUCAAUUUUGAAGAUCCAUUUUCAUAUUUUACUCAACUUAUCAACAAAGCAAACAAAAACUAACAUGCACUAAAAGUUCUUCAUACAUACCUCAUCCGUGGCUUGGAAAAAGUAAGGUAUUAACUGGUAGCCCACGAAACUCACUGGUCGGUACUCUCUGACCUCGCGGCCUUAAAUCGUUCAUCGCCCGUAUUGGAGUCCUCAACUUCACCGUCAUGGUCCUCAAUUUAUGGGCAAAGUGCUUGAUGAAAGUAUAAGAGAGAAAAAUGAAAUAGAUUUUAAGCUUGGUUGCUUCGGCUUUGGCAGAGGAAAGAGAUGAUAACUUUUCAUUUUGUAUUAAUAUUUGUUGAGCAAAAGCAUGUUUCAGUAUACAGGGUACAAAAGCAUGUUUCAACUUAUUACCCUAUGGAUAUUAACAAAGUUCAAACCAAUUUCAAAGCCCAAGGUGAAAAUAUUAAAUUUGUUUGAAUUUUUUUUAUUUUUAAUUUAUUUAAUUACGAUCCUACCCUUGCAUGCUUAACUUAUAUGAAACGGAAUACUAACAUGAGGGGAGGUCAUUGAGAAUACGUGAAUACAUUCUAUCAAGGUGAAAAUACCCCAAACCUCAGGGGAGGUUUCUGAAAAUUACCCUAUUUUUAAAUAUGUUAUAUAUUAUUGAUUUAUCUGUCAUUUUACUGUAGAGUGAAAUUGUAGCAAUAAAAAAUUGAGUAAAAUCUUUAAAUUUAUAUUUUUCAUGACUCACCGUAGAUUCUGGUAUUUCAUAGAUUAAUUCUUUAUUGGCUUAAAAAAAAUCCUACCCAAACUUAAAAAAAUUAAGCUAAUAUAGACCUAACAUAAAAAGAAAUAAAUAAGAUAUAUAAUACAGAAUUUUGUAAAUUAUUUUUAAUGUUAAAUACAAGUAUUUUAAUAUUAUUGAUCUGCAAAAUAGAUUUUAUUAAAUUAAAACAUAUAUGAUAGAUUAAUAAUAUUAAAUUAAUUUUUUUAUUCAAAACAAUUUAUAAAAUAUAUAAAAUUUAUAUAUUAUAUUAUUUUAAUAUUAUAUUUUGUAUCUAUCUAUCAUAGAAGUUUAUUUAAAAUCAAUUUUUGGAUUGUUAAAAUCGAUGUGUAUAAUCAUAAAAAAAAAAAAAUUUGUGUGAUUAUUUAUUAAACCAAGGAGGUCUAUAGCAACAUUUAUGUUCCCAAGGGGGUAUAUAUGCUUUUUUUCACUGAUUUUUAGAUGAAUUAAUUCUUAAAUGUAUCUAUUUAUCAUUUACUGCAAAGAAGGUGAUCAAAUUAACCAUAAAAAAUACCCAAUGAAAUGUGUGAAAUGCCUGAAAGGUAAUAGGAACUGUCAAAAAUAUUUGUACGGAUUGGACUAGGCAAUGCGGGCCAAUAAUAUCUAGUCCAAAGAUGAGGCCGGACCAAGUUUAAGUUUUACUUGAUAAAUUCAGAUCCGUUCCAAAACCUGAAUUUUAUGAAAAAAUAUUAUAAAAUACAUUAUUUUAAAUAAUUAUAUUUAUUUGACCCGUAGAUUAUACAUAUUUAAAAUUUUAAAUAUUUAAAGUUCAUAUUUGAAAAUCCAAAUUCAUUAAAUAAAAUUUAAAAAUUAUAAACUAAAAUAGGUCCCUACAGUGCAACCCGGUUAAGUCGAAAGCCAUCCCAGCCUGGGCCAUUUGGGUCUUUGCAUUAACCUCAAAAGGAUAAAAAGCGCAUGAGGUAUAGGUUUUAACCGAGAGAACUUCUUGCGCAAUUCAUGCCGUUAUGCUUUUAUGACCAGAAAUUGUUUCUUGAUUUGAUUUCCAUUUCAAAUUGUUUCUUGAUUUUUAUUAAUAUGACGUGGGACCUGUCUAUGGUACAGAUUCUGUAACAAACAUCUCCCGACAUCCCACCAUCUGAUUUUCUAUUGUUUAGUUUCUCAGUCCACAUCCAACCACAUCCAACGGCUGAUGCUGCAGUCUGUAGCUUACAGAUUCUGUAAGCUAGUCAAGUCCUAUGAGGUGAUUGCAAAUAUACAUAUAUAAUAUUAUAAAAUAUAAAUCUGGAUUUUUUAAGCCCAUUAAAGAAAAUCCAUUUGGGGCCGAGUUUUUAAGCCCAACCUCAGUGUUCAAAAAAACAUGCUUGGGCCAAAUUUGAGUAUUGCCAUAUCCGGGACCGACUUGAGUUUUUACCAUGACUAAGCAUAAUCAAUUGGUUGAAAUAAUUUAAUUUCCGGUAAAAUGAUGUGAAAAAUUGUGAAUCAAUUUGGUAAUCUCGUAGAGGCCACUUUGUAACACAGCAAAAGUAUUCGAUUGAUCUGAAAUCAUUGAAUAAUUUUCUGUUAGAGGAAGGAUGUCACGUGCAACAACAAGAAACAUAUAAUGCUACAAUAAUUUAGAUCAACAAUAAUAUUUAGGAUCCUAACAUUUGAGUCUCAACUUGACUCUCAAUGAUAUGUGUCACUCAUCAAUUGAAUAAUGAAUGUAAUAUUUAGUAAAAUUAUUUAACUACCAUUCAAUCGAUGAAUUCCACGUCAGUAGGAACUCAAAUUAUGACUUAUGUUGGGACAUCUACCAUUGCUCUUCGCAUCAGUGGUGAGGCUCCAAGUGGGCUGGGAAAUUUUUGGAAAGUUUACAAAAAUGUCAUAAUGCAAAGUUUAUAAAUUUGCCACUAUUUUAUUUACAGUAGUACCACUCUAUUAAUUUACCACUUUAUCAUUCAAAUAAAUAUAUAGAAAAAUGGGAGCAUUUACUUCAUUCAAGAUUCCAGAACGUGCUUCUUCAAUUCUUCGUCUUCUUCUUGACAAGAAUAGAUAAUAAAUUUAUUGUUUAUUCAAUCAUUUACAGUACACUUAUUAAUUGUUAGGUAGUAAAGACUAAAGAUUAUAUUAUUUAAUUCUUGUUCCAAUUUCAUUGUGUAAAAUUAAAUUAUUGUUGGGUCAAAUGAAGAUAAUUUAGCCAUUAAAUUCUAGCAUUCAAAAAUUUAAAUUAAUUAUUAAUAGAUUAGAGAUAUUUGAAAUUGAUUAUUGAUAGAGAUGGAUCAUAGAUUCAAUUCAGUACAUUAUACAUAAAGUUAAUUUGUUAAUUAAACUUAUUGUUUGGCUUCUGGAUAGUGUUAAUGUGUCGUAGUGACAGAUUGACGGUUCUAUGGCUUUUAUUAGUAAAUUUAUGAUUAUUUCUUCUAACUUCUUUUAUAUUUAUACCCUGUUUUGACUGAAACACCCAAACGAGCAUAGACCCGGCUUCAAAAUAAGGAAGAAAAGGAAUUUUUAUCAAAUUGUAUAGUUAUCUACGUUAAAAGAGAAUUUGUAAACACCGUCAAUUUAAAUUCGAUAAUAGAUGGAUUUAAUUCUCGAAAGUAUGGUAAGGCACAAACUUAAUAGUGUUUAAUUGUGACUAAAUUACUUCUUAGAUAUGAUAUAUUUUCUUAUGUAUAACAAAAUUUUCUUUCAAAUUUAUAUUUUUAACCAAGAUAAUAUUUGGAUUUGGAAAAAAUUUAGCCUACCCAAGAUAUUUUUUCUGGCUUCGCCCCUGAUUCAGAUAAUCUAAACUUCCAGAAAUUUCAGAUAAAUAUUACUCCAUUUUGAUUUGUUAUUGUUUCUCAUAUAUUUGCAUAAACACAUUACAUUGUUUUUGUGCUCACUGCAGAAGAUACAAUGAUUUAGUUUUACUUACAACACUGCAUAGGAACUCAAUACAAUAUUCACUAAAUGCUUGUGGAAAGUGCAGAAAGGUACUGAUAGGGUCUCGUAUGAGAACACAAUGAUUUUACCCACAACAGAACCUAGGAACUACAUGCAAUUGCAAAAUCGGUACUAAGAAGCAGAAUACCAAUGCCCUUUAUGAAGGUUUCCACGAAGACAGAGGUGGAGUUUCAGAGUCUUCGUAGGUAGGAGUGACACCCCCAUACCGAUGAACCCUUACAGCAUCUGCUGAAGCAAUGGAUUCAAGCUCAGCCAUUUCUUCUGGAGAAAGUUUCACUGACAGAGCUUUAAUAUUUUGAUUCAG